GCAGCGGGACCCACCCACGUGCCUUUGCCUGCGAUCCGACGCUUUCGAAUCUUUCCCUUUCCCAACGGCUCUCUCUUCUUCCUUCCCCCCCCUUCUCCGCCUUCACCACCUCCCUCUCUCUCUACGUUGUAUAUAUACACGCACACACAUCCUCUACCUUUUCACAUUCACCGCAGCUAAAACCAGCUUCUCGAGUUCGUUUCCCUUUGAGCCACUCCCUCACCGCUUGCUACCUGUGAGAAAUGGAAGCCUCCAUGAGACUUUCUUUGAAGGUACCGCUGCUGCUGCUGCUGCUGCUCCUACUCGCAUCUGUUGCAGUCCACGCGCAGGAGGCUCCGGCGCCUGCGCCGACCAUGGAGAGCGGAUCGGUCCCGGCAGGCCCCGGUCUCUGCGUGCUUGCUCUCUCUGCCGUGGCUUCUCUUGUCGCUGCCUUCGCGCACUGAGGGUCACUUUCUCGUGGCCCAGCAUACCAUAAUCCUAAUAUGAUUACAAUGAUGUGAGCUGGUUAUAUGAUAUAUUACGUCUCUGUUGCAUUGGGUGUUCGUAUUGCCUUCUUGUUUAAGAACGAAUUGAUCCGUGGAUGCUAUUUGUCGGGCUGUAAAUGGGUGCUAUAUAUUUUAUAUCUUUUUGCAUCUAAUUGGAGAAUCACAGAUCUCAGUAGCUUUAAUCCGAGUGUUUUUGAGGUAUUAUAUCGUAUAUGGGAAAAACAUAAUCACAUUUAGUGCCAGCAUUGUCUUGAUCGUAGUGAAGAGGAGCAGCUAAAUGAUGACCGAACUCUUCUUUGACCAUUCUUAGACAAACACCAACUUUUUUGUCAUUUUGACCGGUGGUCAAAAUCAUUAAUUAGAAGAUGACAAUGUGAAGGCACAAGCGCAAAACGUGUUCCUCCUAAUUUGCACUGGAUUUGGCAGAGGUAGCUUUAGUGGGCUAAAUUUUGAGUUGCGCAUGCCAUUUUCCUGCGACUGUUCUCUCUCUCACACACACAAAAUCCAGAACAUCAUGGGGACAUGCCAUUUGCUGGUAUCUGCUCUCCGCAGCACUGAUAUGUGGACAUGAUGAUGACGAGACUUGCAAGCAUCGGUUGGCAGCUGAGUAAAGGCUAAAACCAAGUGUAUUGACCAAGGUAAGAAGUAGCACACCUCCAACCAUGUGAGAGCAGCAGGCUUGGUGGUGAUGGUGAUGUCCUUCCUUCCAUGUACACUAAUAAUUUAUCCUCAUCAUACAGGCCAUACCUUCUUUGACUUUUGCCCCUCCUGAUAAGAACCAAAUCAUGUCGUAGAUCCCAAUGCUUCUCGGGCAUCUUUCCUCCAACUACAUGUUCAUAUUACAUGGUAAGAUGAGAACAAAGAACAGAGUUUUUUAUAGUCUAUACUUGCUGAUCAUUAGAUGCAAGCGAAUACGAGUUUCGGAUCAUCUGAACCUUCUCCUAAUCUGUGAAGCUGUUCUUGGACAGUCUCAAGAAAAAUUCAACAAAGUUCUGAGCAUAACAAUCGAACACUAAUCAAAAUUUAGACCACGAUCUCAGCCUGUACAGAACGACACUGGAAAGCAGAAGUUGAGAGAGUAAGACUUGCAUGCCACUAAUUAGCUGCACACAGAUCCUUCCCCUAUGUGCACCGCACACCGUAACUCAAGAACUGCAGCCGCGGAAGUCAACGGAGGCCGCGGUCAACCCUCGCCGGCGCCUCCCGUCUCAAGAGCCGCCGCCCUGCCGUCGCCCGGUCCAGGUGCUCCGCCGGUUAGUGGGGCAUCCCCUACGGCGGCCGGCUCCGACGGGGACGUUCCGGAGGGCGCCCCCGGCGGUCCAGUAGCGAUGGCAGGCCUUGCAGAAGUGCCGCGGCUGGUUGACGUUGUAGUUGUUGAAGUAGCAAAACUUGGUCUUCUUGCUCUUGCACCUGGGGCAUGGCAGCGCCUCCUCCGGCUCCACCGCCUCCACCACCCCGGCCGUCUCCGUCGCCGGCUGCGCCGCCUCCUCCUCCUUGCCUAGUCCGUCCCCCUUUAGGAUCACCGUCCCGAAAAGUUUGAAGCUUGGUGCUUCCUCGUCUUCUGCCAUGCUGAGAUCGGAGAGAGACAGAUGAUGAGGACUCCCGAUAGGUUGAGAGGGAUAGGAGGCGCAAAGCGAGAGAGAGAGGUAUAUAUAAGGGAGGUGGCAACAGAGGCUUCAUUCUUUAGUGCUCUUUAUCGUCAUCUCAUCCCAAUGGAUAGAAAGGCCACCCAAAGAGAGCAAGAAGAGAAAGAAAAAGAAGGCUUGUCUGACAACAAGAAAAAAAAGGUCUUCCAUUUUGGAUGUUAUCCAUCUCCCGGAAGAAACUUUUUUCUCAUUACUUGGGUGUGAAUUGUGGACUCUGCCACUCGGGAAAAGAAUUCCCCAACAAUGACAACAUGGAAACUUUGGAAUGGAGCUUUGUUUGUCAUCCAUUCAUGCGGUGAUGAGGUCUUCAGUUCAUGAAUCAUCGCCAUGUGCCUACAGCAUGUUACUGCGUAAGUCAACAAAGAAUAUGAUGGCAAAGCGAAACAUUCCAAAUUUUGUUUUCAGCUAUGGAAGUUGUUUUGGCACUGAUGAAGUAAUCACAAAAGUAAUUCAAGAUGCUCAAUGAAAGUGGAGAUAAGAAUUGUGGUGCAUAUAUUUCGUUUAUUGUUUUUUAUGUUGGGUUGAUUGCAGGACCACUUUGCAAUAAAUAGAGUAGGUGAUUUUGCCUACCCUUCCUCUAAGAACAACAUCAAAGUCCAAAUAAAUUGUGCCUAAUCUUCUCCGAUCGCACUCAGAAUAUAAAGCUUAUGGACUUGAGAUUUUUAAGGGAGUAAUGGAGGACAUGUGGGAAUAAAUGGCUUUGCUCGUACUACUGAGCAAGAAAGAUGGAGAAAUUUGUGGUUAGCACCAGAACUUAGAUUCUUUGGCUCCAAGAUUGACUUUUCUUCGGCAGAUGGGUCCAAAACUCAAUUUUUAAUGUAAUUUUACAUUAAAUUUUGUUUUUUGACUGCAUAUAAUGCACCGGAUAUUUUAUCAGAGAUAAUCUAAAUCUCAUUUGAUUGGAUUCUUUGCUCGCUGGAAUUUGCUCUGCUCACAAGCAUGAUCACAUGAUGUUGGAUUGAACGCCAGAAUAAGGUGAGUCUGAUUCGUUCUGGAAUUAGUUCGGAUGAGGGAAACGGAUCCGUGGAAGGAAUAAAGCUGAGCUCCUCUUUCUUCGAUCUUUUCCUUGCUUUUGACUCGAUCUUUUUUAUCUUGACGAUACUGCGCGCAAUGCUGGCGAUGAUGGAGGGGCUGUAGAAGAUACUGAUAGCUGCGCAUCACAAUAUAUCUAGAAUUAAACGUAAUUAAAUUGGUCUCUUUCAAUCGGUAGGACAACACUUGUUCUGUACCUGAGAAUGAUUGACUUGUUCAUUUCUGGCAUCCCUGUCUGCUUAGAUCAAGUCCUAGCUUUCUACAACCACCAUGAACAUCUCUUGGCUUCUUCCCAGCUCCCUUUCUCGGUUGAUGUCAGUGUCCGAGUAGAUGGGAAUUCUUGAAUGCACUCAGUGAAGAACUUGAAAAGGUUGUCUUACUGCUUCAGUCAGUGUGCACUUUUCUGCAAAAGAAAAUGACAAAAACCAUCUCAAAAUUGCAUCUUACUUUUCUUCUCCGUGAAGAGUAUGUGCUUUCUUCUCUUACAGUAGGAAAAAGUUGGGAAGUAGUUAAUAGGGUGGAAAGGAAGAUUGCCGGCCUCUUUUGUCUUUGAAUCAUUAGUCUAUGCCCUGAUAUUAUAUAUAUAUAUAUGAAGGAUAAACAAGCAUAUGUUCUUUUGUCUUUUCUAGGGUUCAUCCACCCUCAUCAGACUUUUAACAUGAUGAUACAAGACUGAUCCUUUCUUCGUUGGAUGGGAUUUGUGGUUGACUGACUCCAAGCACUUUUUUACACCUGAAGAAUCUAUAUGGUGAUCUCUUUGGUGUUUCUUUUGUGGGAAGGAAAGCAACAUGUGUAGCAAGCAUUGGACAGAUGGUUGAUGGUUGAAGAAUGUAUACAUCUCAUUCAGAUCAUAUGGAGGUCAGCAGCUCAUGUGGAUCAAUUAUCAUUAUAAGAUGAAAUCAUUAAUGACUUGAUUAAUUUUGACAUUAAUGUUGCUGAUGUCUCAUGACGCUUAAGCUGCAGAUUACAAAACAAUCAUUCAUUCCAAAUCCUUUUAUCAUCUUUAGUUUGGAGAACAGUCGCCAACAAAAAUGGCAUCCGCCAAUUCCAUGGCAACCUUCUCAACAAGUGCAGUCACGAUGUGCUCUUCCACCUUACUGACAACGUUAUAUGCUUCUUCCAUGCAAAAGCCAUUCCUCCAACCCACGUCCCACAUGGCGUUCGUCAACAUGUCUUUGCAUCUGAGAUCUCUUUCCAGCCUCACGUAGAGACUGUCUCUGUAAGGAACAUCAUCGUCAGCCUCACUGUACUUGGCAAGUCUCCCAAUUCCCUUGCUGAUUUCCCCCACUAUCUGAUCAAGUGAAGCGUGCUCUGUUCUGCUCCACCGGUGAGUCAGCGACAUAGGAUGAUGGCCAGAGAGCUCCGCGUGCUGCCUUUUGCGCUCUAUCAACUCUUCUGCACAACCCAAAUAGAGCUUAGCAUCUUUGUCAACCUCGUCCCAGUCCAGCUUUCCGUGAUUCGUAGGUGUAUGAGCGUCAAGGGUCAGCUCGUCGGCAUGCAGCAGGAAUGACUGGCAGCUGAGCAGUAAAGCUUCGAGGUGUUCUACUUUAUCUGCUCUUGUAGUGGUGCUGAUGAGUUCAUUGCCGACAUGCUUAGCGGCCGCUGCUUCUGCUUUGCCAGAAACCAUUCCACCUUUGCUGGUCUUUGGCAUGACUUCGCGAAUGACUUUCUGGUCUUUCCCAGUCUUCUCUGCAAGCGAGAAUAAGAGAAUAGCCUAUUUAGAACUCAUAUGCUUCCGUGACCACACGUCAGUUCUUAAUUGAUUGAAAGGAUGAAAGAAUGCUUACCAUUGUUGGAAGAUUUUGGGCUCAGCUUUCGCUGUUUCGAAGGUUCGGCAGCAGGCGAGAUGUUGAUUGCAGAUGCGUCAUCAUCUGUCUUGCAGGAAGGACUCAUUUCCUGGCCAUCUCUCUGCUUUGGAGUCUACAAGAAAGUAUGGUAGGAUUGUACAAAUAGAUGUUUGUUAAACUUUGUGUUCAUAGUUCUCAUCUAAAUAAGCAUCACAAUAAUUGAGUAAAAUUCCUGAGAUUAGUUUGGCCAUCUUCUGUAUCGAACGCUUUCUUUUGAGUAAUCUCUACAUGGCUGACCAAUUCAUGGGCUCAAAAAAAUUUGAAUGGCAUGAAAGGGAAUACCUUGACCUUGGUCAUCUUUCGAGCUGGUUUUGCUGCAGCUGUUCUCUUUUCUGCUGCGGCAUUGGUGGAAUUCCCUGAUACCAUUUCCCUCUGGGGUUUCAUCAUACUCUUCUGCUGUGUCGCCCCUGCUUUCAUGGCAAUGCUCUUUGCAGAAGCUGGUCUUCUGUUGGGCUCGGUAGAUGCUGUUGUAGCUUUCUUGGCCUGAGAUAACGGAGCUGCAGCAGCUUUGAGGCCUUUUCUGCUUUGAGGAGUCGUUCGAUCUAACAAUGACCUCUGUCCCUGAUAGCUUCUCUUGUGAAGAUUCGCUUCCUUCUUCUGCUGUCCAUGGCAUACAGAAGCUGGCAAUUUACUCGUCUUGGACGACUCUACUUUGCUCUUCUUCGAGCUCACUGCUUCUUUUCUCACCGAUUCAUGUGCUAGCUCCCGUCUUCUGUUGGCAAUGACCUCGUCAUGCUCCACCUUGGUGGCUUCGAUCGACUCCUGGCUUGAAGGCGGACGAGAAGGAAGGAGCUCAUGCUGCUCCCCUCUCUCGGGAAACUGCAUUGCCUUAACAGUCGAUGGGUCUUCUUCAUCCAUAUGGAAUCUUUUACUGUAGCGUUCAUCUGCCGAAGUAUCGUUUGAAUCCGACUGAUUUCGGCAACCUAUUUCUUGGCCUCUCUUCACGAGCCGCUCGAUCUUUUCUCGUUCGAUGAUGCUCCGUAGAGUCACUCUCUCCGGUUUCGGACUCUGCUUAGACAACAGCAACCUUCCUGCCUCAGGCUUCCCAACAUGAAACAUUGAUCUUGGUGCAUUUAGAUUCUCCCUGAUCUGUUCCUUUCGUAUGGUUUCGGCAGCUUCUGCAGGGACUUCUUCCAAGCCCAUCAGCCUUGCAAUCAGGCUCGGAGCUUUCAUCUUCACUGGCUGCUCCGAGGCAGCGGUAGAAUUCUUUCUUCCCCCCUCUGUCUCAUGAUAGGAUGAACCGAGUGCACUUCUGAAAUACACUCCCAAUGACCGGCUGGAAGACGUCUUCUCGUCGUCGGAAGAUAUUUGCAGUAGAUUCUGACCAUGGAGACCCUCUCCGAUCACCUUCUUCAUCCCCUCACCGCAACUCCUCCAUGAAAGACUACUGCAGAGCUUCUCUUCCUGCAGCCUACAGCUGUAACUGUUCACUGCGUACCUAUGUGGCUUCUCUAGCUCAUGACCGAUGUGUGCUCCCUCCAUGAAUUCUCUUUGGCGAGGAAUCGUCUUCCUCGAUUGAAGCUUCAGUGAUUCCUGAGCGUCCAAAGCAUCCUUCAGAUGACCGUUGCUGACACAUUUCGAUCCUCCAUCAAGAUUUGCCACCCCGAACCAUGUGUUGAUCAUGUGACUCAGCUUGCGAGCUGGUUUGGAUACCUCCAACAGCUGCACGUCACUGUUCUCCCUGGAGGGGAGGCCAUUGCCUCCUCUUCUUCUUACCAUCAAAAGGAGUGCAAUCCAGGCCUCGACAACCUCUCCAGGGAAUCCACCACCCGCAGAAGUCAAUUGUUUGUUUCUGCCGACAAGAACAGGAUCAUUAAAACCCAUAAGCUACUAACCUUAAAUUGUCUGAGAACAAAAUUCCAGUUGUCAAGGAAGAAAACAAAUAUUCCAGUAGAAGUGAAAAGCUCUCUGGUUUUGGAACUCCACUAAUUCUUGAUCUGUACAUAUCAUGACAAAAUGACCGGCUAUAAUCUAUAUAUGCGGGCUAACACUGGCUUCAAAGCGAGAAGUGGAGAGAACAGAGCUACCUGAAACAGGAGCCAUAUGAGCUGAGGGUGGAAGCCAAGAAGAAAAAGAAAGGUGGCUGAAACCAUCAGGAGUCCCCCAUGCUGCUGUGUCUCCACUCCCGGUUUGGCUCCUUGAGAUCACAAACGUGUCACGUUAACUCCCUCUCUGUCUCAGCGAAACAGCAGAUUUAGGUUUUUUGCUACCUGCUGGUCUUCUCACAGACUGAGAUCAUUGAAUUCCAGUAAUGUUGGUGGGUCAAAGUUGGCGUAAUGAGUGAGAAAGGAGAACACAGAGAUCUGAAGACUUUUGCUGUUUGCUAGCAGUGUUUGCCUUUUCCUUCCCUUCCAUUUUAAUAUGAGAGAGCUCAUGUAGUUAAUUCCCUGUCAUGAGCAUAUCGAUCACUGUGGGGCUAAUCUGAAUCAUGGAUUCUUGUUGAGAUGUCUUCUUCUUUUUCAAGGAAGAAGGGAGGAUUUGGACCACCCAAAGUUUAUUAGUGAAUGUUCGCUUAAAACAUGUAAUUAAUGCAAGAGUUCUUCCCAGAGCUUCAUUAAAACAGGAAAGGUUCUGCCACAAGAAACUCUUGCGGCGAUGUGAAGCAAUGGUUUCCAUGCACUUAGAGGAAUAUGGUAACGACAUGGAAAUGCUACAUGAUGGAAUGAAAUAGGAACUGGAUAUCUCAGGUCUGAUCUCAAACAUAAGUUGCCAUCAUUACAAGCCUCCUUUGUCUUUUGUUCCUACUCAUUGUUGUUUGAUGGAGCAGUAGGAGAUGGAUAAUUCUUAGUGUUUUCGUUUUACCUGCACCUCUUUUCUUUUACUUUCUCUUUUGGUGUGGUCCAUGACAUGUUGGAAAGCUGGUCGAGCAGCACAUCAAUGCAUCUGAGAAAAGAUACGUAGCUGCAUUGGCAGUGGUGACAGUUUGCCGGGGUAGUCCCAUCUCCUUUGCUCUGUCUUCUUCCAUUUGCCAUCUGAGUUACUAGGCUGUCAAUCUUCAAGCUCUGUAGGCCCACAAGUAGCAUGCAGUGCAAGGAAAGCAGAGCUCGUUUGCUUGAGCUAGCAAUCAUGAGCUUUCCUGAUGAACUAUCAAUACCACCAUGAGAAUUCAUCAGCCUCCCUACACCAAUCAAAGGAAGAUGACACUCUAAAGCUCGGGAUUCACGGAUUAAAACUUCAUAACUCUCACACCACGACAAUUAAUUAACGGAAUUUAUUUUGAUAUCGAUAGAUUAACUUAGAUCGUUGUUUUCUGACUUGAUCUAUCUGUAUUCGAUGAGACGAGAGACUAGUGAUAUAAUAAUGAUGAUCCAUCGCUAAUUAAGCAUGACAACAAUAUCCAACUAUUCUCGGUAACCAUCGAUAAUUAUGAAAAAAAGAGUUUUCUCCCCGAAUACGUUCUUCACACAUAUAUAUUAUUAUUUCAAUCCCCAACUAACUUAAACAUCAUACGAGCAUUAUUCGAGAAACGUUUCCAACGUAGUUUUACAAGUUCAUUACCUUUUGAUUGACAGUAAUUUAUUUAAGACCAAUCAAUAAAAAUACUCUUAAAUUAAGAUAAUUUAACAAUGUCAGGUAAAAGAAUGGUUGAAAACAUCGUCUUCUCGAUGAGCUUAGAAAGGGUAUCUUUGUCAUGGGAAGAGAAAUAUCGACGUGAAAGGGGGAAACUGCCCUACCAACCAUAUUUGCAGGGCUCGCUGUUGUCAGCCUCAGAAUGUUGAGACCACAAUACUGACCAUCCACUUCAUAACCUCCUUUCUAUUUUAUUCUCGUCCCUCAACCUUCCCUUCUCUUCCUCGACAUGCACCCCACGUCCACUCCUUCUGGGUGCAUGGUGGAGGUCGCCUUCUUCCCUAUCUCUUGCACUGCUUCCCAGAGACAAGGCCUCAACCUGUGUCUCCCCCUCCCUCUGUUCGUCUCCUCGUGAGAGAAGGGCUUUUCUUUGUGCAACCUUAGCCGCUACACCAACAAGUUUCAGCCUGCGUUGCCUUCCAUAUGUUGGCUUAGAGAGAGGGAGAGGGAAGGGGCAGAGAUAUAUGCAUCUUCCUCUGUUGCUCAAUCUAAAUCCAUGCGCAUGCACAAUCCGAGAGAAGACACGGUUGCUUCUCGAGUGUAUCGAUCACCUUCGGUGGCAGACGUGUGAAGGUCGGGUUUCUCACGAGAGGACAUAGCCUUGACAGAUUGAAAGUGCAUGUUAAGUCGACGCUGGAGACCUCGAGGCGCUGAGUGCAGAGCUUUUCUUCGGAUAAUGAGGAAGGGAACAGAUCUUUUAAGGAGGAGAUCAAGGUGUUCUUCAGAAGCCAGGGCUUAAGAACCGCUGACAACUCUGUAGAGGGCCAGUAGAUUGGUGUUGCGUUUGAUCGGUCGCCCGAGGAAGGAACCCCUCCCAAAAAUCAAGGAAGGAUGAGAAAGGAUUGUGCAGGAAACGGUCCUCCAUCAGGUAAGGCAGAUGAAGGAUUGGGUGUUCAAAUUUAGGCUGAGAAGACAAGAUCUAAUUCGUGAACUAAUCUACAUAAUAUCCUUAAUGCAAUCCAAUGUUUGUUUUGCUUUUCUUAUUUUAUGGUGAAGAUACAUAGCCUUUUGAGUUUUCCUCAUGGACUUUUGUCAGACAUGGAGCUAAUGAAGGAGAAGUUUGCGAAGCUUCUUCUCGGUGAGGACAUGUCAGGUGGAGGAACAGGAGUUUCCUCAGCUCUUGCUCUCUCUAAUGCCAUCACCAAUCUUGCAGGUUUUGUCUAAUACGCAGUAAUACAUAUUAUUACAGCUAUUCAGCUAUUCUGAUCAUUCUCUCUCUCUCCCUCCCUCUCUUGCUCCUGCUUGAUUCAGCUUCUGUCUUCGGAGAGCAGCGGCGCUUGGAACCCAUGCCAGAGGAAAGGAAGGCAAGGUGGAGAAAAGAAGUCGAUUGGCUCUUAUCCGUCUCUGACCAUAUCGUGGAAUUUGUUCCCUCACAGCAGGUUUCAGGAGAUGGAAAGAGCAUGGAGGUAACUAUCGACGUCCGGAAGCCCUCCUUGACCUUAAAUCCAAAGAUCAAACACUUACAUCAUCAUGCUCUUCACAGAUAAUGAUAACUCAGCAACGCAAAGAUCUUCGCAUGAACAUUCCUGCCUUGAGGAAGCUCGACGCAAUGCUCAUCGUAAGCAAGAAAGAUGAUCCCCGCACGAACAUUCCGCUUCACUCUGUUCUGAUACCGAUCUCGACACUUGUGCAGGAGUACCUCGACAACUUCAAGCAGAAGAACGAGUUCUGGUAUGUGUCCAGGGAUGCGGAUGAGUCUGAGAAGGGGAACGUGCAGAGGACCGAUGACAAGUGGUGGCUCCCUACCGUGAGAGUCCCCCCCGGUGGGUUAUCAGAGGCCUCAAGAAAAUGGAUUCAGCAUCAGAAGGAGCUGGUGAACCAAGUGCUCAAAGCAGCUAUGGCUAUCAAUGCCAAUGUUCUAAUGGAAAUGGAGAUUCCUGAAGACUACAUCGAAUCCCUCCCAAAGGUGUUCGUUCACUCGAGCAAUGCUUUUUUUGCUCCAACUCACCAUAAUCAUCGCCUCAGUCUCUGCCAUGGAUGGAUGCUGAUCAUUUCUCAUGGCACAGAACGGAAGGUCAAGCCUCGGAGAAACCCUCUACAAGAACAUCACCGACGAGGAUUUCGAUGCCGAAACAUUCCUUGCAUCCGUAGACCUGUCCACGGAGCACAAGAUCCUGGACCUCAAGAACCGGAUCGAAGCAUCGGUCGUCAUUUGGAAGAGGAAGAUGAACAACAAGGACGCCAAGUCGACGUGGGGUUCGGCUAUAAGCUCGGCUAUUAGCAUGGAGAAACGCGAACAGUUCGAAGACAGAGCAGAGACGAUCUUACUCAUCCUCAAGCACAGAUUCCCCGGCAUCCCCCAAUCAGCACUGGACAUAAGCAAGAUUCAGGACAACAAGGUACGUAGAACUCCAAGAAUUGGCACUCGCACCGUCCGACUUCUUCUGCUGCUGUAAACAUGCGACUCCCCUUGUGCAGGACGUGGGAUACUCGAUCCUGGAGAGCUACUCCAGGAUUCUGGAAAGUCUAGCUUUCACCGUGAUGUCGCGGAUAGAAGAUGUUCUCCAUGCAGACUCCGUUACUCGAGAUCAAAGUCUUGAGGGCUCCAAGACGAGGCCUUCGGUGGCAGAUUCGGAGCCAACUGCAGGAAUAGCGACGCCGCUUGAUCCAGCAGAGGAGAUCGAUAAGCUUAAUAACAUGGAAGCCAACAAUUCCAUGACGCUGUCGGAUUUCAUGGGCUGGCAAUUCGACAUGGACACCCAGACAAAGAAGGAAGACGAAGAUGCAAAGCUGGUGAAACAGCCUCCAAGCAUUGUGGUGGCCAACAACAAGCUUUCCAACUUAGAGAAGUUAGAGACAUGGGAGGCUUGAGCUUUCAAGAAGCCCACAGAAAAGACGAGAGAGAGAGAGAGAGAAGAGAUGCAUUUUACAGAGAUUUUGUACCAUAAGUUUCUUGCUUUAUGAAGAUCGAAGAGCAUUCAUUAUAUGGAUUUUUUUUUCCUUACUUUGACACAGAAAUUUUUUGAGAAAAUAAGGUUCAUUCCAUCAAAUUAAUUGUUAACGACUGUUCAUAGCUUCAGGAAUUCAAUUAAGAAAAAUAGUCUCGUAGAAUUUAUUUAUAUUAUGAUGAUCGAAGUGAAAUGAUGGAGUUGAGAUUCCAUUAAAUUCGAUCUGAUCGAGUUGCCCAAAGUGAGCCCAAAAGAAGCAUUCCAUGUCGAUCUUUGUUCACACACGACGAGCAUAAAGUUGGAACAGAGUACAAAGGAAAUAAUCGAGCUUCUUUGAUGUUUACACCGAUCGCUUAGAUCUUGCCGCGAGGCCCCGGAGUAGGAGGCAGCUGCGGGCCCUUCUUGAUGGGUAGUAUGUCGCCGGAGGCGGUGGAUCCCAGGUAGGCUAUCGAAAAGCCGCCACCCAGCAGCAAGAACUUGAGCAACAGACCCCGCUUGGUGAAAGGAGCAACGAACGUCUCGAAGAACUUGCUCUGCAAUUCCACAAACACAUGGUCGGCAUCAACCGUAGCCGAGGGGAGGAGUUAUGGGUUUGCCUACCUGGAGAGGGUUGUAGGGCGAAGGGGCGUCGGAGCCGUAGAGGUCCCACUGGCCCGUAGUGUUGCCGAUGUCUUCGAGGUCGAAGUACACGCUCUUCUCCCCGUACUUGGCGACCACGGCGGCGCCAGGCCUGCUACCAACAAGAUCGGAGUUCGAUCGCGUCCAUUGCGUUCGACGAGAAAGGUAAAGGAAUCGUACCUGAGGUUGGCGCGAGAGGCGAUGCGGCGGGAGGGCUUGAGUGCGAGCUUGUUGCCGUUAAAGGAGCUCCCUGCGAGGCCCUUCACGGCCACAGGUUGCACGGCCGCGACCGCGGUGAGGGAGGCCAUUGCUGCGUCCUUCGCGUGGUGCUGCUGCUAAGAUUCCGAGGACUGCGUUCUUUGCCUCACGUUGCUGCUGCGCGAAUCUUUAUCCGCUCUCCUAUAUCUACGAGGCUGUGGUGAUUCCCAAUUGCAGGUGGUGGCGCGGGUGAUGGGAGAAUCCAGUGAGGGAAUGCCACGUGAGUCGAGUUGAGAUUGGCUUAUCCAGAUAGAUGCAUAGGAAAAAGACACAGAAUUAUACACAAAUAUACAUAAAUACCUAUAUGUUACAACCUUAAUAUUGUUGACCAGGGAGUCGAUACGACCUAGCCCCAUCCCGAAGGUAUAAGCUCGUCCUGAAAGCUUACUUAAUGCUCUUGAAUACUAAUGGGGUGAGGCGAACUAAUUAGAACGAUCUUGAGGUGUCGCUUGUUCGCUCGAGGUGAAUUUUAUGUUUGGACCGAGGUGGUUGGAGCUUCCUCGGGAUUCUGGAGUCGAACCGAGGUGUGUCUUGGUUUUAUCGAGAUUCCUACACAUGAGAUUAGCAUUGUGAAAAUUCCCAACUCGACCCCUCCGAUGAUAGAAUCAGUAGUGGGAAUGAGAAUAGUAGGCUUUUUUUUUUCGUCCCCCUUUUGGGUUUCGGGUGUUUACUUUUAUACUUGGACGACCGAUUAUGGGAGACUGAUAGCUCCUUCAAGGGUUCAUUUAUGUUGAUGAUCGAUUGGUUCCUUCUCUUAUCAACAAAGGAUAGUCAAAGGGGCAUCGUUUGUUUGGGCUGACAUCUGUAUAGGAAAAGAGCAUGGAGAUUGCCCAUGUCAAACGAUCGGGAAAAGGGAGAUGAAUUUGGACAUCGGGGAUUAAUAUCCCUUGGAAAUGGAGAAGACGUAUUUUAAUGAAAGUGAGAAUUUUGAGUAAAACAGUAACGAGCCUCGAUUAAUAGUAAAAUAAUAAUUUUUAUAUAGAUUUAAGAAAAAAAUAUUUUAUAAUAUAAAUAAAAAUAUUCUCCUCUCCUUAUAUUCCGUUUUUGAUAGAUGUGCACGUGACUCAAUCUUUCAUUGAAACUCAUUUUUUCUUAAUGAUAAUGCUGCCACAUUGUUAUUUGAGCUUGAAGUAUAAUUAUCGAGCUAAUAGAUUUAUCAGUUUGGUUGAAUCAAAACUACAUGAAAUGUAACCCAAUGAUAACUAAUGAUGAUUUGUAAUCCUAUACAAUGAAUUUUGGGAUAGUGAUUCAUGCACGAUACAAUUUAUUUGGUGAGUGAGUGAAAUCGUAACAGAGCGUAACAAUAAUAGCCAAAGAAGAUAAGAGUGACAGGCUUGUGAAGGCAGCAGCAGACAAAACGUCUCACAAGCCAUGUGUAGUAGUUUUAAGGGAAGUUUAAGCUUCCAUCACUUCAAAAUUACUUUUCGCCAAUUCAAUUGGCUUUAGAAUCUCAAUUGUUACAUUUCCCUAAAUGUUCGGAUACAUUGAAAUUUGAGUGACUUUAUAGCCGAUACAUGGGAGUCAGACAUCAUCAAGUGGUGAUGAACCAUCCUCUACUUCAGUUGAAGCAUCAAAUACAUCAAAAAAAUAUGAAUGACUAAAGAAGACUUGGAGACCUGUAGCUAAUAGCACCUGCACUAAACCGUCAUCUUCAGGUCUAAAAAGCAACCUGCUUGCCAAACUCUGUCAUUUCAACUAUGAAUCAUCCAUCUACUAUGUUCAGAGGCAUGCUUUAUUACCAUGUAUGCAGCCCCCUCAGAUUCCUUAUGAUGUCACAGGCUUCGAUUAAAAAUGUGAGCAAUAUCCGGAAGCAAGAUUCCAAUAAGAAGGACCUGAUGAACAGAUAAAAAGCAAAGAGAUGAUCAACUAAGGAAAAGCAAAUGAUCAAUUGAUGUCAAUUCUAAUAGACUAAUUAUAAAUUGCAACAAAAAUGAAGAAAGAAAAAAGUUAAUAUAUGCUUCCAGCAGCAUAUCAGAAUAUUAUAGAAUGAGGCAGUGAUGGGUUCUGAGACUUGCUUACUUGUUCACGUAUCCGAUUUCUCAAUCUUAGGUUUGAUGUCGCCAUUUCCUAUGGCUGCUUGUCUGAUAGGAGUAUGCUUAUUAGGAUAAGCAGGGAUUGGUUUCAACAUCUGAGGCAUCUCCAUAGCAGUUGGCAUUGUAGUCCUAGCAGCGGCAUUUUGAGGUGAUUCCAUAUGAUAAGGUGUUUCAUACUUUGCAGACAUGGAUGAGUACUUCUCUUCUGCAACACGUCAGAGAAGAAAGCAUCGGAUCUGAACUAGCAAUGCAAAAACAAGAAAUUGUAUACUGCUUAGUCUAAAUAAUUAAAACAUCAUUAUUCAAUGGCACCUUUGGACAAUCGAGGGAAAAUGAUUUUCAUUAUAACUGAGACACUUUAUCACAUAAUGACUUUUGUGUCAAUUCAGGUUAGAGAAAGAGACUCUCAAAACUGCAUGAAGUUGCCAUUUUAGAAUUUCAACUUAAUAGCAAAAUGAGUCAUUCCUCACAACAAGAUUAUCCUGAUACUAAUACUUCCCAAACAUUCAAACAGGCUAACUGGGGAUAAUAAAAAGAUCACAUCUUUCUGAUAACAACAGAAAAAACACUUGGAUGACAGAAUCAGGUUCAGAAUCUGGGCAAGACAAACGGUCAAAACAAAGAUUUCACAUAAAACAAAUGUCCACCUUUCGUGGUCAAAAGACACUUCAAAUUUCAGAAGAAACAAACAUAGAUGAAAGAACAAAAUGAUCCAUGGUCAUUCUGAAAUGACAUAAUCAGCAGACUCAGUUAAAACUAUUUAUCUCUACUACCACGGCACAAGGAGAAAAUGUUUACCUUUCAUUCGUCCAUAGGUAACUAGCUUGUGGAGAUAGUCUCUGAACUCCAUUAAUACACACCUUUCUUGCUCCGCAUAGACCUCUGACAUGCUCUGGUCGUUGGAAGAUCUUGGAGCUGUACCAGUAGCUCGAGAUGUCAUAAAAAUUGUGUCUUGCUCAUCGCACAUCAGUGCCAGUGUACCAGGAGACAUCGACCGUUCACCCUUCUGUCCAUCCCCAGAAUCAGAUCCAGACUCUUCGGUGUUAGUUUUGUCUAUAGGAAUUCCACUUGAAUACUCAUCCACUAAUGCAUUCUGCAUGUCUGGAUCUUUUUGACUCUGAUCUCUGUCAUGAUUUGGUGGUCUGAGAGAGCUUUCAUCUUGACCUUCCUUCUCUUCUAACCUCUCCUGAACUCUUCUGUCUGAAACAUUUUACGUCAGAGAAUAAGGAUUUGACGGAAUCAAAGGUAAAUGACCCAUAAAGAACCCAAAUUCAGACUCAGCAGCAACAUAUAGCCAACAAAAUCAGCAUAUGUUAGGCAAAAGAAAAUUUUGAUCAAGUAGAAAUUGGUCAACACCAAUAUCGCUAAAACCAAAUCUUUCGACCGAAGUAUCUUAAAUUCUAGCAUUCAUGAAACUCCAAAAUAAUUAAUUAUAUACUAUAUUAAGUUCCGCACAAACACUGAUGAAACAUGCAUUUGUUGAAGUAUUUUAUUUCACAACCAAUGUUUUUAGUAAAAUUACGAUUCAAACCCCCAUUUAUCAGAAAAUCCUGCACCUUGUAUCUUCCAUGCUAAUUUACAAAAUAUAGAUUUUCUCUGACUUUGAUGUCCAGAAAGAGAGAAGUAGUCAACAUUCUAGAAGGCUACUCGAUGAGCACAUUCACCAGGCCCCAGCAUCGGACUUUGUUCAUUACCAUAUAAGAUAUGUUUCAAUGGAACAGUAGCAUUCUGACGGUUGCAUUACUUGCAAUUUAACAAGAACCAAACAAUGGUUACUAUAUAUUCAGAAUCCAAGUGUAUGAUCAGAAAGUAAAAAUAUCAAAUGAAUCAACAGAGCUCAAGAUAAUAAUAGGUCAGCAAAUAGAAAAUGCAUAGAAAGAAAGAAGCAUAACAACUGUUUUUAUAAAAUUUCCAGAAGAAAAUAAAUAAUCUAGUAAAGAAUUUAAGACAGAACGAAGAAAUAUAUUCAAAAACUCUUUUUCCUUUAUGAAAAAAAUACAUAAAGCAUUAGAAUGACUGGGUUAGUUUCGAAUAAUUAAAUAUGUGAACAAUGGAAGAACAAAAUUCUCCUCAUGACUGUCCACUUCAUUCUUUUGAUAUGUGUCACGUAUGGGUAACAUAACCGUUGCAAGCUGACAUAGGAUGGAGAUGUAAGCAUGUUUAACUUGUCCUAUACUGCAACGGUUUUCAAUAAUUAAAUAUGUAAACAAUGAAAGAAUCAUGACUGUCCACUUCUUUUUUUUUUAAUGUGUCAUGGAACAGUUUUUUGUGGUGACAUGGGUAACAUAACAGUUGCAAGCCGACAUAGGAUGGAGGUGUUUGCAUGUUUAGCUUGUUCUAUUCUGCAGCAAUAUUACUCAAAUUGAUAGUCCAAAGUGUACCAGAAUACUGUAUGAAUCAGUUAUUGAAAACUGUCAAUUACUGUGGCAGUCAUACCGGAAAAUGUUUUGGCAACCUCUCCAGACACUACCACCAAAAGCUUGCACAGAUCCCUAACGUGCUCAGGUUGAACUAUGUCUGCUAGAAGAGACCUUCAGAUGACCAACAAAAAUUAAACCUUGAAGGCACAAAAAAACAACAAUUCAAAAGUUCCACAAACAAGAUUAAUUAAAUAAAGAAGAAAACUAUUGGUAGAUUGACUUUAACCUGUAAGUGACCUUAGUGGAUGCCGCAGGAGCAGUAUUAAUAGCACAAGCCACAGGAAUGGAAGCAAAAGAAGAGCCCGAUGCUGAAGCGUUAGCCUGAUAAAUGCAGAGUAGCAUUGGUAACAACAAUGAUAAAAAUUAUUCUCCAAUGUAAAGUCCGGCAAAGGUUAAUCAAGCAGUCAUGUGCAAGUCAGAAGAGUGACAAUAAAUCACUGUUACAUCUUCUUUCAUUGCCUAUAAAUGCCUGUCAGAAAAGCCCUUUGGACAAAGUUAACUUAGCCAUCGCAUGGGCAAUCAUCCAGAUUUUCAAUCAAUCCAUGCAAUGCAAAAUUUGAAGUGAACAAUAAAUUUUUGUCUGAUUAUUUAGUACCAAUUUCAUGGAAAUAACAAGUAAAAUAACAAAAUAAUCUCUAUAAUAUUGCAAAUAUCAAAAAAUUACCUGUGGAAUUUGUGCAAGCCUUUGAGUGGGUUGAUCCUUUACUGAUGCACCAGCUAACAGCACUUGGUUUUUUCUCUUCCUUGGUGCUGAGGGAGACAUGAACCCGGAGGGACCAAUAGCCCCAUUCAGGGCUGCAUUGGUUGCCUGCUGCAUGUAAAGAAUGCUCCCAUGAUCACCCCGAAAAAGAGCCUUCCUCUCUUCACUCCCUUCAAAGUUCUUACAGUCCAUACAUUUACAAUUAUCAGAGCAAAGAAUGUUGGCUUGGAAGCACUCGCAGUAUUUCUUGAGGCAACCAGACUUCUUACAGUGGCAUCCUUUAUUGUGCUUUCCCACUAAAGGAAGUUCUCCUGCCUCAUCCUAGCAAAUAUAAACAUAUUAAUAUUAGUAAUUAGCACAUAUAUUAAAAAAAAUUCCUUUAGGCAAAAUGGAACUUUUAUUUCUUAUCCUGAAAGUAGCUUAAAAGGAUUUUAUAUAGGAGUCCUAAAACAUAUUUUUUAUAGAACAAGAUAAACAAAACUUUCGUGAUCACUUAAUUGCCUGUUUGACUUGCAGAAGAUUGAGAACUUCACGAACAUGUCCUCUGAACUAAUCACUUAUUUCUCAUCACCUAUCACCACCUUGAGAGCAUAUACAAGCCAUCAAUAUCAAAAAAUAUAAUUGUUCUUUUCUGAGAACAAUUGCUAAGUUGCUCAAAACUCACAAUAAUCUGUUGUUAUCAUAGGACGCAAUUGCUAAAAUUUGUCAUUACUUGCAGAGUAUAAUAUAAGACCCAAUCACCAAAUGUGCCAAAUAUCUUGAAUGUCACACCUUGUGAAACAAACCAAUUAUUUAAUUAUUCUAGGAUAUUAACUACAUACCCUGCUAUCCCGCAGUGUGUGUGGGCUACUUCCAAUCUUAGGCCUGAAGGCAUUAGGAUUGCGCUCUAGAGUAGCUUCAACAGCCUCACGCCUGGCAGCUUCAUUCUCGAUAUUGUUACAGCAGUUUGCACAGUUGCAGCCAUCACAAUAAACUCCAGACGCAAAACACUCACAGUACCUAAGCAUGCAAUAAUGAAAACGUUAAUAUAAGGACAAUAUGCUAGUUUACAAGAGGACAUAUAAAUAAAAUCAUAAUAUCAAGCACUUAAUUGCAAGACUAUGUUUUAUACCACAAAAGACAGAACUCAGCAUGAACGGGACAAAAAUAUCUAGUAGUAGUAUUUGCAUAUUCACUGAAAUUUUCAAGCGACUAGCAAAAUAGAAACUCUAGCAUAGUAGAGAAACUUAAUGUCCCCAUUCCAUAUUUGUGAAGCAUUUAGCUGCAAGACUGCAGGCAUAAACUUUCCUUAUCUGGAGUGCACAGCAAAAUUCAUUUUAGACGAGCAAGUAAAUAACCAAUACUCCUUCUGGCAUAAAACCUAUCAAACAGAGUAAGCACCUAGAGAUUUUCCCGCAUUUUUCGUUAAUUAUUUUCAUCAAGUGGGAUUCUUGCGAUGUAUCUAUCCUUAAUUAAAAAACUAGAGAUAAGGGUAAUGAAUUAGACAGAAUUAUUCAAACGAUUAUUGAACUCUCUCUGCACAUUAUUCAUGAGUCAUCUACAACUUCCUUGGGAAACAAGUUAUUCAUAACCCAAGAUUUAGUUUCUAAAGGUACCACAAGGAAGAAUUUUAUAUAUGACUAAUUUACCAACAAAAACUGACAAAUUCACUAGCAUAUGAACUUCGCUUACAUAAUUAAUUAAUAAUCAAGUUGCAUGCCUGACUUAUCAGAAAUCUGUUUUCCAUUAAUGAAUAUCAAUAAUCAUAAUACAUCCAAUAUUUACCAUGCUAAUUCUCAGUCAGAGAAAUCAGACAGGGAAGGCCCCAUAAUACAUCAUAGCUCAUACAACCGAAGUACAACACUCUGCGACUACUACAAUUAAGUGUAGCUAAAAUAGCAAUAAGUGCUAUGUAACAAUUUAAGUUGUGUGAGUUCUGUGUUUGUCUAGAUGGGAGGUCUAGGAAUAUGUGUUACAUAGGCCUGCACUUGAUGAACCAUAUACAUGAAAUCACCGUGUAGCAAUUACUGCACUAGUAAGGUUUAAUCAGUCAAUCUAUCCAAUGACCAUCUUAAGUGGUAGUUAACUAAUGCUAUGAGAUAUUGUAAUACUGAAUAUGGGUCACAAUCAAGAUACCAAUUGCAAAUUACCGCUGCAGCAUAAGCAUCAAGUCAGAAAUUCCAUGGUUGUUUUGGCUGUAAGAAGCAGCUAGUGAACUAAGAAGUCUUAGUAAUUAACUACUUGAAAAAAUCUUCUAGAGGACAGGGAUUAAAGGAGCAUAACAGAGACACAGAUGAUAAUUUCUGACAAUAUUUACAACAGAUUUCCUUUUUUGGGGUCCUAUCCUGCCACAAGGCAUGAUGUUUUAUGGCAUUCUUGGUCAUCUGUGCAAUCCUUAGACUAUAGAUGAUCUCAAAGAAGUAACUAUGCCAUUCAAGUGUUAACACACCAUAAUCUUAUCAUGAAAAAAAAUGAAACUAAGAAGACGACAAAAACUUUCAUAACAAAAGUUAAUUCCACCUACAGCUUCAAGCAUUUUGAGUGUUUGCAGUUGCAGUUCUUCUUUCUUGUUGGAGUACCAUCUUUUGCAUCAUGUAAUGGUCGUGGCCUUGAUUUGGGUGAUGCUGGCUUCCUGGAGAGGUUGGUUGUAAGAUAGUGAGCCCUUCUUUGCAACAAAAAGCAAUAAUACACAGAGACAUCAGGUAAAGAUAAAAGCUUCUCUACUGCUAGUCAUGCCUCCGAGAAUAUUAAUAGGUAUCCCUCCCAAGACUUGCAUGUCACUGAAAAAAUAUGGAUGUACUAAUGUAACUAAUAGAUUGCAGCAUGUUCAAUACAAGAAUAUCUCGGAAUAAACUUUGAUGCUUGAUAUACCCUGGGCAUUUAGAGAAAUAUGUUGAAGGGACGAAAGCAGACAUAUUAGCCACUAAAAACUAUGACUGAAAAGAAGCAGAAGGUUGAUAAAAAAGAGUAAUCAAUUUCAAAGUUCUCAUCUACUGUAGAAGACAGUCUAAUUCAACUGUAAUCGUAAGAAUUAAUAGUGUACUUUUGAAAGACUCCUGUGUCCUAAAUGACAUAUAUGAAAUAUACGGAUGAAUCUUAUCACUAUAAAUCCAUCAUUAUUAGCAUCAUUAAAUACUGGCCAAGAUGUCCAAAUCUAACAAGAUUUAAGCUUGUAGUCUGAAGUAAAAGAACACUAAAAUACAAAGAACAAACAAACAAACGAACGAAAACAAAAAUGGACAUUUCUGAGGCAUUAUAUUUCGAAUUGCAUUCCGAAUUAAAAGACGAGGAAUCUUAACAUAAGAGCACUGCAGGGACAGUUUCAGACGGAGCCGAGAAACUCUCAUGGCCAUCCUACGCUAUAUAACCUUAGAAGGUAGAAACUCAAGCUCCCAAAACCUAACCUAAGAUUUAGAAGAGUUUCGCAAAUCCAUAGUGAUUUCAAAAAGCCCGUUAGAUAUUAACUCACGCAGCCACAGAAUUUGAAGGAACAGAGGGGCUCAAGGGAUCCGGCGUGGGCCACGGCGGUCGUUGCUGCUGCUGCUGCUGCUGCUGCCGCUGCUGCUGCAGUUGCUGCGGUGGAUCAAGGGCCACCGGUACGCCCGCCGAAGCCGGGGCUCCGCAACAAGCCGCGGCCGUGAAAUCCAGCUGGCGGACGAGCUUUCUUGGAGGGAAAUCAGUCGACGCCGACGCAACAGGUUGAACACUUUGCUCCAUCGGAGUAGUCAAUCGCCGAUUCAAGGACCAAUUCGAGAAAACUGCCAAAGGUCCCCUCCAGAAUUCGGGUCCUCCUUAAAAAUCUGAACCCGCACAGAUGCCCAACGGCUGGAGAUCACUUGGAUCGAGCACUGGAAAUCCCGCAGAUCGCCGGAGGUGGAGACCAAAGAAGGUCCCGUGGAGCCUCGGAAGAUCUCCGGCGUCGGAGAGGGAAUUAAACGGCAGAGAUCCACCGAGAGGAGCAGCGACGGGUGGUGGAGGGCGGGGGAUAAAGGUGGAUUUUUUAUUCGGGUGCGGGAAAUCUUUCGAGCACAAGGAGAUGAGAAGGGGGAGGAAGAAGCGAAGUGCUUUCUCUCUCUCUCCCUCUCUACUUUUAAAUCGAAUUCUAAUAUUUCGACGGACAGAUUUAGGUCGAAGAGGCGAUCGGACGGUCAUUCUCUCGAGAAGAGAUCGUGCGGUUAAAAUUCAUAGGUUCUCGAUGUCGGGCCGUCCGAUCCAAGAAAAGGAAGAUUUUUAUUGUAGGGAAAUUUGUGGAUGUACGUCACAAGACGGCGGUGAUAUGAUCCUGUAAUAUAUUUCUGGGUAAUUUACUCACAAAAAUCACUUAUAUUUAUAUUUUAUCAUCUUUUUCAAAAUAUUCAAUUCACUUUCAUUAUAUUGGACCUAAAAAAUAUGUAUAUAAAUAUAAAAAUAAUAAAAAAAUAACUUUUAUGUUUUUUGGACAAAUUUUAUCAAAAUGAUGCAACAUAUUGGACUUACUAUAAAAAUCCCUAAAAUCAGUAAAGUGCCUAUUUAUAUCAUAUUUUCAUUUGAUGGUUAAAAUUUAAGAUGAACGGCUACAUUCGACAGCGUAAUUAGGAGUAACGUAAUUUUAUUUUGAUUUUGAUUAUAUAUGGAGUGUAAUACAAAUCUUUUUCAAGAGUAACAAUAUACAGUUUGUUUAACUCAUCUCAAUCUCUUAAUGUAUCAUACAAAUAUGAUAUACAUGAUGAUGUCAUUAGUUUUUCUAUUUUUAUAUUAUUUAUGAGUUUUGAGUCAAUUCAAUAAUUAAGUGUGACACAACUCAUUAAUAAAUAUGACAUGAUAAAGUUGGUCUAACUUACUUCAAUCUUUUAAUAAAUAUAACCUAAAUAGUAAUUUUCAUAAUUUUUUAUUUUUAAAUAAAAAUUAUAUAUAUAAUUUGAAUAAAUUCAUGCUAAACCCAUGCUAAUUACGUAUUACAAUUUUAUAAUUUUUGCUUGGAUGCUAUUGUAAUCUCUCUCUAUAUACUUAAAGUAAAACAAAUAACUCUAUUUGUCCUAAUGUUAUCGGAUACAUUAACAAAAAAAAAUAUAAGACAUGACAAUAACAUUUUGGAUCACUAUGAAAAUGAUUGACAAAAAUAAAAUUUUUCGACCAAUUUCAUAUUCAACUAAGAUGUUUUUAUUUUGAUAAAAUAAAAAGAAAUAAUAUUAAAAUUACUUUUUCACUUAUAAUAUUCUUAUCAACUUUCAUUUAUUUCACUUUCAUCCCAUGUAAAAUUUUCAAACACGAAAAUCCUAAUACUAAUAGGAUAAAAGUACAAUAGCUAAUAUGCAAAUUAGCCACUCAAAACCUGUAAGUCAUGUGAUAACACUUCCAUCGCAUGUAAAUUUUUUGUUGGCAGGUAAACCAAUUAUGAACAGCUUUUAUAGGUAAAUUGUCUUGGAUAUUUUUAGUUUAUUUAUUUAUUUUUGCUAUAAGUCAUGAGAUUGAUUAUAUGGAUAUUUAUUUACAUGGAUAAAUAUGCUAGCAUAAAUUUAUACGAAAAAUACGAAAAUAUUGUCACAUAAAAUGUACAUAUACACUAAUAUUUAAUAAAUGUGUGAUAUAUAUAUAUAUAUAUAUAUAUAUAUAUAUAUAUAUAUAUUUAUUUAUUUAUAUACAUCCCGGCUCCGAUCCUGCUUACUUCCCAAUUCCCCUUUACAGGCCGCCUCCCUCAUCGACAUCAGCGCACAGCGCCGCCUCCUCGAUCCAUCUCCGUCUUCCCCCAAGCCCCUCUCUUCUUGGAGCCCACCGCCAUGGCCUCCGCCGACGCGCCGCCGAAGCCCCCUCCGUCCACCGCCGAACACGACGACGACGACGACGAUUACGAGGAUUACAUCCCCGUCAAGAAGCGCCGAGCCAUAGAGGCCCAGAAGAUCCUCCAGCGCAAGGGCCGCCCCACCUCCGCCGGGGACUCCGACGCCGCCAACCGCCCGCAGGCCCUCGCGGAGGCCAAGCCAAGCCUCCUUGUCAAGGCCUCCCAGCUGAAGCGCGAUCUCCCCGAGAUCAGCCCCACCGAGCAGCUCGUCCAGCAGGAAAAGGAGAUGAUCGAACACCUAUCCGACCGCAAAACACUCAUGUCCGUCCGCGAGCUGGCGAAGGGCAUCACCUACACCGAUCCCAUCCCCACCGGGUGGAAGCCGCCGCUCGCCAUACGCCGCAUGCCCGCUCGCCACGCCGAUGCCAUCCGCCGCCAGUGGCACAUCCUCGUCGAGGGCGAGAACGUGCCUCCCCCCAUCAAGAACUUCCGCGACAUGCGCCUCCCCGAGCCCAUCCUCAAGAAAUUGAAAGAGAAGAGAAUCGUCCAGCCGACGCCGAUCCAGGUGCAGGGACUGCCGGUGAUCCUAGCGGGGCGGGAUAUGAUCGGGAUCGCGUUCACUGGCUCGGGAAAGACGCUGGUUUUUGUUCUCCCGUUGAUUAUGACGGCAUUGCAGGAGGAGGUCAUGAUGCCGAUCGUCCCUGGAGAGGGCCCAUUUGGGCUUGUGGUAUGCCCGUCGAGGGAGCUCGCGCGACAGACGUAUGAGGUUGUGGAGCAGUUCCUUGUUCCGCUGCGGGAUCAUGGAUACCCGGAGCUGAGGCCGCUGCUAUGUAUUGGCGGCGUCGAUAUGAGGUCGCAGCUGGAAGUUGUGAAGAAAGGGGUGCAUAUUGUUGUGGCUACUCCAGGGAGAUUGAAAGAUUUGCUUGCAAAGAAGAAGAUGAAUCUUGAUAAUUGCAGGUAUUGUUGCAUCAUAAUUAGCAAACUGCUAAUUAUGAUAAUUGUCUUAAGAAUAUUUGUCUUCACAUAUGUUUUGAAUUUCUGAAUUAUUCUUGUGCUAAUGCUUCGCUGUUACUGAUUAACUGUACCUACAGUAUUAAUCUAACCAAGAGUUCUUGAAUGAUAUUCUUUCAUGCUCUAUGAUCCUCCUGCACUGGACUUCCUCAUGACAUUGUUGACAGGUUUUCUCUGAAUGGUAGCAUUUUAUUCCAGUUUUGAGUUUGGUUGGAUUACUUCUUUACCAUGUAAGUUCGAGCAAUAUUUGGUCAGCCAUGAAAUUUGCCUUUCAUUUUAAUUUCAUUGACUUGUAUGAUUGACAAGAACUUUUGAGGUAUUUUCUUCAUAUUUAGAUUCUUCAGUCGGAAAAACUAUUGCCAGCACUCUUUGGACACCCUUAUACUCGAUAGGAAAGUUGUGUAGUGUGGCACACCAUUCUUUUUUGUUGAUUCCUCGGACAUCAUCUUCUAGCUUUUCAUUACACUAAUUUUUUUGUACAUGGGCGGAAAUGAUCAAGUAGAGAGCUUCAUGAACUGACGUUGAGUCAACAUAAAUGAAAUUAUGAUUCUGGAAUUAGAUGACAACGUCAAUAUCUGACCUAUACAUUGUCAGAUAAUAAAUAAUGACUAUUCUACGAACGAACUUUGUGAAGCUGGUGUUAAUAACAGUCUGAUUAGAACUUUAAAUUACUGUUAGCUAUGCUGUAGAAUCUAAUACAAUUAGCUUAUUGUGGAAUCAUAAGAUUAUUGAUUUCCCAUAUCAUAAUGCUAAGAAGUUAUUCCACAUACUGUCACUUGCAGCCUUAAUUACCUUUGAAUACAAACACUAUAUACAGGCAAGGAAAAAGACAUCUCUUAAAAUAUACUUCUUGAUUGUAUUGCCAAUGGUCAGCUCUGAAUCUUUUCCAGUUUUCUCAUCAACGUCCUUUACUUCUUUCUUGUGGUUGGCUAUAUGGAUUGUUUCAUGUUACUGAUAUUUGUUAAUGGAAAAUGUUACUAGUCAAACUAAUAGACAGCAAAUUCCAGUAGUAAUCUUUAAUCACCGGGCCAGCCUAACCAUGUGGACAAAUAUGAAGUCUUUUAUCCCCAUCUCGCAGAACAAUACAAGAACUAUUUACUUGUGAAGCUUUGGAAAAUAUAAGAGCUAGUUUUGUAAUUUUCCAAAGCUUGUUAAGAAUAAGUGAUUUCUAAAAGAAAUAUUUUUAUUUAAUAAGUAGUUUUUUUUUAAAAAAAAUUUAAGCUUUCUUGGAUCAAUUUACUGAAUAAUUUGGAAGCAAACAUCCCUAAGUUAUAUAAGUGUGUGAAUCAAGGCAAUCAUUUCAGUAGAACAUGUAUAAUUAAUGAUAGUUUCAGAAAAAUAUGGAUUAUUCCUUCUACCUGCACUAGAAAAUUUAUUUGUGGUUAAUAAAUAUUUUUAGAUCCUUGUAUCAUUUAUGCAAAGGCAGCACAGAUUCUCAUAUAUAUUAUCAGAACAAUUGCAACAACCACCCCCUCUCUCCUCCUCUUUUUCUAAUAUCUGACCUUUUUGUUUGGGUUGAAAUAUAUGAAGACUGAGCCAUCUUCCUAUUCAUUUAUGUGAUCUCACAUUUUUGCUACAGGUACUUGACACUGGAUGAGGCUGAUAGGCUGGUGGACUUGGGCUUUGAGGAUGACAUACGGGAGGUUUUUGACCAUUUUAAAGCCCAAAGACAAACCCUACUCUUCUCUGCUACCAUGCCAAAGAAGAUCCAAAACUUUGCAAAAAGUGCUCUGGUGAAACCUGUGACAGUCAACGUGGGAAGAGCCGGAGCAGCAAACCUUGAUGUCAUUCAAGAGGUUGAGUAUGUGAAACAAGAGGCUAAAAUUGUAUAUCUUCUUGAAUGCCUCCAAAAGACACCUCCUCCUGUCUUGAUUUUCUGUGAGAAUAAAGCAGAUGUGGAUGACAUUCAUGAGUAUCUGCUUCUUAAGGGAGUUGAGGCCGUUGCCAUUCAUGGUGGCAAGGACCAGGAAGAAAGAGAAUAUGCCAUUGCAUCCUUCAAAUCUGGCAAGAAGGAUGUAUUGGUUGCUACAGAUGUUGCUUCCAAGGGCCUUGAUUUUCCUGACAUCCAGCAUGUGAUCAACUAUGAUAUGCCUGCUGAAAUUGAGAAUUACGUCCAUCGGAUCGGCCGAACUGGAAGGUGUGGCAAAACAGGAAUAGCAACAACAUUCAUAAACAAGAACCAAACAGAGACGACACUCCUCGACUUGAAGCACCUCUUGCAAGAAGCAAAACAAAGAAUUCCGCCAGUAUUGGCAGAGCUUAAUGACCCGAUGGAAGAUGGUGAUGCUCUUACUGAUGCUAGUGGAGUAAAAGGUUGUGCAUACUGUGGUGGGCUUGGUCAUCGAAUCCGAGACUGCCCAAAACUGGAGCAUCAGAAAUCCAUGGCUAUUGCUGGUUCUAAAAGGGACUACUUUGGUUCAGGAGGCUAUCGGGGCGAAAUAUGAUCCUGCUUCUUGUAUCUGUAUAUACGGCGAACUAUUGCGGGAUUUCCAUUAAUGACCAAGUUUUUACUAUGUCUAGAUGUCUGUAAACCAGGAAACAUUUCUGUAAUCAGAUAUUACAACCCACCUUAAAAUUCACAGUGCCCAACUUUUUUCAGUUGGAUGGUGGAGAACUCCUUUGCUGUAGAGCAACAUAUCAGCUGCCAAAUUUGUAUGGAGUUUAGAAGUUAUUUUAGCAUCUUGAAACACAUCAUAAUGUGAAAACAUCAACGUGAAUGCAGCCGAGUGAUGCAUUGCUUGUAAUAUAAGUGAGACAUCAGUUUAAUUAUGGAAGCCAACUAAAUGCUCAUCAUCUUCAGGUUGCUUGUUGAUUGUUAUGAUGAUGUUGCUACUGUUUGGUAAUUGACUGUUGAUUGUAUUUUGGGUUUAAAGCCUUAUGUACAUAUGCUGCAAAAUCUAAUUUUAUCGACCGUAUGCUUAAUCGAUGUAUAUAUAUAAUUUUAUUUGGUUAACCUUCUUUACUUCUUUUUCCUACGUAAUAACGAUAAUUUAUUUGGUUAACCUUCUUUACUUCUUUUUCCUACGUAAUAACGAUAAGGGGAGCAUACGAGAAAUUAUUUUGAUUUUUAAUUCCUAACAUGUGAAAAUAUAGGAAAAAAAAUAAAAGAUUAUUUUGUCAAUUUGAUUUAGUUGACAUGAUAAAUUCAACCAAUUAAACUUAAUUCUCAUAAACAUGUCAUCAUAGUGUUCCGCUAUUAUUUAAGAUUGGCUACAGGAUCUUUAUAUACCUAUUUAAAUUUUCAGUUAAACAAUCAGCUACUUAAAAUUUUCUAUUACUGCUAGUGAGUCUUUCUAUUUCUCAUUAAAAAUUCAAAUAAAUUCAAAACCUACUAACAAUAACAUUUAUGCCUCAAUCACAAAAUUAUUGCUUAUGAUAUAUAUUUUAAAGUAACUUCGCCUCAAUAUUUUUAUCUUAACUGUACUAACUAUUCCACACAGUAAGGCUGUGCUCGUCCUGUGGCACGCAGCGGUGCAAGCAUGUGCCGAUCACUCCACGGUCGCCGUGGCCACCGGUGAGCAAAGCCGCCACCUUUAAGCACGAGAUCCUCCACAUGACCAAAGGUACGCAACUCUUUUAUCUCUUCAGGCUUUCUCCGGUCGCUCUCUUCCUCGUCUCCUCUCCUGCUUCGUCGACUUGCGCUUCCGAGGCGUUUCUGCUAGCUAGGGAUGUAUCUCCACUACACUUUAUAGUGCGUGAUGGUCCAACCUGCAUCGAGAGAAAGGUCAUGGUGGCUCGACUAUAGUUACUGAUCUCUAUGUACGUGUGUUUUCUUGAACAGUAUCUCGUGCAGAUGUUGUAUGAUCUUGAUGGCUCCGGUGCAAGGACGAUGCUCCUUCUCUACAACAUCCAUCUCCUUGGUGCUCUUUAUCUGCUGCAGUGAGUAGGAGAUACCUCGAUCUGGAAUCCCUCAGGUCAUGGGCGAGGAAGCUGAUGACUCCGACGACAAAGCUGACGAGGAGUUGCUUGCAUCGACAGACAGCUCAAAACAGCAGAAGGUGGCUGCUCCACCGUCGUGUAUGUACUAUAUGUCUCGACCAACCGGAGGCAUUUUUUAAGGGAGAACACAGCAGAAUCCACUCAUGAAAGCUGAAGUGAUCGGGUCUCCAAUCUGUGGCUAAAGGAAGAAGAAAGAAACCAGUGCAGCUGAAUGGGAGCACAUGGGUUACACCAACUCUACUGUCAUACUCCCAUUCUCGCAUGCUUUGGCAUAAAGCUCUGCAAGAGAAUAACACCACAUUUCUGGAUGAUUGGAUGCUACACGCAGAUGGCUCCUUUGGAGUCCCAUCGUCGCUGAGCUGUUUGUAUCCACUUUUCUUCUCCCUGAGAAGGUAAAUGGCUCCCUUUCAGUUUUAUCACCACUUCGAUUCUAUCUUCAUACCUCAGACCACUGUGAAGCUAACGAAGAAGAUGACUUAGCAGUCUAUGGAUCUACGAAUGCCCAAAGUAAUUCAGGGAAGAAAUAGGAACACCCUUCAGAGACUCGGAUCCAUGCAACAAAGGGAAAAAGAAAGCAGAGCUGCAUCAGCCACUCACUCGAGACCAUAACCUUUUUCAUCGGGCCCCACAAGAGGAGCCAAACAAGAAUCCAACACCAACCUCCCAUGGAUUUGGUUCCUUUCUACCGCGCCAUCAAUGUCCGGUGGUAGAUUCGCCUGCUCGAAACAUCAAACUAUCAUAUGUCCCAGUCGCACCACCAACGACAGCAAACCUCAACCGGGGUUCGGGGUAGGGUUAGGGUUAGGGACGCACGCAAGCACAUAUGAUGGGUGCGGAUGACAUGUCGCGUAUAGACACUCUUUUAAUUCAAUGGAGGUGUACUAUAUCUCCUGCUUUUGUCGUUCAUAGAUUCCCUCUCUCCCGCAUGGAAAGCCCUAGGCCAAAAGAGCUUGGGUUUCCGGAUCGAACACUCGCUGAUCCCUCCCGUCUCUCUUGCCCCGAGCUAGCCUUCGGUUUGGCUGAAGAUUGAAAGCUGAAUCGCAGUGGAAGAAGCAAGAGAGUUCGCGUUCGGCUUCCUCGUAGAAGGUACUCAUUCUUUGCCCAGGUUCGAGUUCAAGUUCAGAUUUUUUUUCUCCCUUUCUUGUUCACCUCUCGUCUAUCGCUUAACUUUGUUCCGAAAUUUUGUUUGUGAUUGAUGGGUGUUGGCUUCUGGGAUUGUUUCUUGUUAGGUCUACUGGUUGUAGUACGAUUAGGGAUGUGGUCUAGAAAAUGGGCGUGAAGGAGUCUUCUUUUCUCAUGUGGAUUGCGGCUCAUUGUUGGGCCGUAGGAUCUCUUGGCCUGUCCGUUCAUUUUCGGAGGUGGGUGGUCGGCAAAGCAUGGGUUAGAUGAGGUGUAUCACGUUGCGUCUUUCUUGCCACUUUUAUCAUUUUAUGUAGGAAACUUUGAUUUUUAUAGAGCUUGUUUACUGCAGCUUGUACUCAUCUUGCUUUGUAUGAUGAUCUUCCUGUUCUGGCUUGAAUUGAUGUGCCCACUAUUUAACCUAGGUUAUGGUUGUAUAUUAUUAUGGGAAGUUGGAUAAAGCCCCUGUUAGCCCUACUUCCCCUAAAGAAAGCAUCAUUGUUUGUCCUAAGUCUAAAGUAACAGUUUAUUUACUGAUUUUGGCUCAUUUUUUUUAUGAUUAGUUUUCAACAGGCAGAGGUUGCUUGAUGUCAUGACCUUAAUUCUCAUCAUGAAUGGAACUUCAAAAUAUUGUUUCUCUUAUUUCUCAUGUUGCAAGUUUGAUAUUCUUAUGGUAAUUAAAACGCUAUCUUUUCUUAAGUGCGUGUGACUUGUUCAGUUUCUGUUGAGCUGGUCAAACAGCUCCACUUCUCUGAUGAAGAUGCAAAAUUAAUACCAGAGUGAGUCUGACUUGAUUAUAAAUAAAUUUAAACAUCUUGUGAUUAAUGGCUUGUUUUUUUUGUGUAAUUGGGGACUGCUUUAAGUUAGUCGGUCCAUUCAGUAAUAUACACAUUGUUUGUUUUCACCUUCAUGUUGGCAAUGUACUAUUCUGUAAGCACAAGUUUUCCUUCUCCUUCCAUGAGUUUGCUGUGAUAAGCGGUGUGGCCGUGGUCCAUCAAAGUUCUUUUUGGAAUGUUGUUCUCAUGCUUUUGUUUCCUCUUUUCAAUUUAUUCUGUUGCAUUAUUGCGGAAAUCUGCAAUAUCAUGAAUCAAAGCAAUUAUCAUUAAUCUUAUAUAAUUGAGUCAUGACUAAAUCUUAACUAUGUUAGAGUUAGAAUCUUCAUUGAGAAUUUUUAAUUGUUUUUAAUUAUAUACAGUUUUGUACUAUGUAAAUGACAAAUCAGCUGAUUAAUUUAAGCAACUUUUGUAAACAAGUGGAUUAUACUUUCAUAAAUCCUUAUUUAAUGUAUUCAACCUCGGUAUGUUUUUUAUAAGCUGUUGUAAUGUGAAUACCUUGGAAAAGGAACAAUCAAUUUUGACCAGCUAUUUUUCUGAUGCAUGAUAAUAUACAUGUACAUGGGACUGGAUCUUCUAUUAUAUCUCACCGAUAUUUAAACUAUUUUGCAGCGUUUACACUAAAUAAGUCUGAUGUGACUGCUGCUUGGAAUUAUGGUAGCUUAAGUUACAUUCUUAAUUCACAUAUUUACAGCAAGAAGCAGGUCUAGUUUAAACUCAUACAACCUGCUGGAGAUGAUUUUGAACAUUAUUUCAAGCUAUGGAAGUAGCAGUAAAGGAGCUCAAUGCUGAAGGAAAGGAAUCUGCACUUGUAACUCAUGGCAAGCACGAUGGAGAUGAGUGCAACCAUUUUACCAUCCGGUAUUCCCACUAUUCACCUGUUUUUAACUGUUUAAUCUACUUCCUCAAGAAUUAGCAUGCAAAACUCUUUUAAAACUUGGCAUUAUGAAUGAAAUGCUGUAUUGCUGCUAACGUAUUUGCUUUAGUGACUUUAUUCUGGUUUAAUUACAAUUUUGUUAAUGUUAAAACUGUGAUUGAAUAACAAAACAGAGUAGCUUACGUAUUGAGUGCAAGAAACAUAAAUCAACUUGUUUAUAACAUAUUACUUUCUUGUUACUUGCUUUAGUACUUAAUGAUUGAGGCAUUUACUUUCAAGCAGCGGUUAUGUUGCUGGUGUUCGGAAGAGAGAUGCAAAGAUUUGCUGGCCAUUAUAUAUGGCCGGGAAUGAAAGUUCAGAUGCACUUUCAAGCAUGCUGCCUCCGCUACAUGUUUCUAAGUUCAAGCGAUGGAGUUGCCUGAACUGUCUUCAUACAAUUUGCGCUUCUGCUGAUGUAACAGGAAGUGCAAACUUUACAAAUGUAUGUAAUGAAGAUAUGAAGACAAACAACUCCAUAUUUCUUUUUGAUCUCAAUGCAAAAAGGUUGUUUUUUUCUGGUCCUAAACAGUCUUUUGAAACCGUCAUACUUGAGGAGAGACCAGUUUCAGACUGUAUUAUCAAAGUCAGUCAUGGUGAACAUAGCCCAGUACCAUAUCACGGCAACAAAAAUAAUGAGUCCAAAACAGAUGAUGCGGCAAAAGAAGGUACCUGGUUUGUGACUGUGUCAUACAUAUUUCAUUAAUUCUCAUGAAUCAUCAUGGUCAUUUCUUCCUCUUAACAGGAUACCAUGUAUUCACAUAUAGAAAUUUUAGAACGGAAGAAAAAGAAAAUCAUUCAUGCAAGUCUAUCACUGCUGUGGCUGAAGGUGAAGAAUUUCAAGCAGGACAAAGCCAAAAAAGAAACACGACAAAUAAGGAAAACAAGUUUAAGGCAGCUCUUCUUUUUGAUGAUGCUUCUCCCAAGGUUGGUGCCGAACCAAAUGGAGGUAUGAGGAUUGGGCUUUUUGAUGCAACUAUAAUUUUCAGAGGCACUGAUCUUGCAGCAUGUGAAAACAAAGAUGAUGAAGGGAUUACUGCAAAAGGCAACAUAAAUAUAGUGCCUGAUGGCAUGACCAAAGAAAGUAGAAAGUUAGUUGGGGUUGAUCUCUGCAUCCCAGAAGACGAUGUUCUAACUACUACUGCUGCUAAUCUCCCUAAUUAUGAUUUGAUGACAUUAGACCAGAACAAUGAUGAAGCAUCAUAUGGUAAUAAGAAUUUAUCAGAUGGCAUGUAUUUUAGCCGAAACCAGAAAUGUGUGUCUAGCAGUUCACAUAGAAAAGUGACCCAAAAAAGGGUUCUUAAGCUACGUUUGCUGGAGGACAUUAUGAAAAAUGAAGAGUUACACAUAUCAAAAAAGAUACAUACUUUUAAAGGAAGUGCGGAUACAUGUGAAAAGAGCCACAAAAGAUCAGAUGAAUGGAAAUGUGAAAUCCAUCCUGAAGACUAUAAAAAAGGCAAUUUCUUCAGGCAGAAUUGCAAAGUGAUACCAGCGAAACCUAUUAAUGCUACAGAAGCUACUCACAGCAAAGAUGAGGAAAUUUCUCUAAUGCAUUGGCUAAAGAAGGUUUCUAAGAAAAUUGUCACUGAUGAUUCUCAAAGAAAGAAAAACAUUGUUGGAAAAGGAUAUGCUGAAAUCAAGUGCAUAGAGAAUAAGGUUGUUACAUCUCCCAGUACACAUAAAAAGAAGGAUGCUGAUCCUCUUUCAAAAGGUUCUAGAGCGAGUAAAUAUAGUAAAAGUUGUACUGUUGAGAAGAAAAGUAAGUUUACUCGACUAAAACCAAGUGCCCAUUGCCUCAAGCCCCAGCUGGAAAAUUUGAUAUCUAAAGAUGCAUCGGUGAAACAUGUACCUCCUGAAAAUGUUUAUCCUCAACUGAGAAACAUAAUUUCUGAAGAUAUUUUGCCCCCUUGUCUUGAAAAUCUAGAGAGGAGUUGUGAGCAGAAGUCUGAAUUCAAUAGAAGGAAAAGGAAGGCGUUUCAAGUUAAGGACAGAAAUCCUUCCCAAAUAAACUGCUCAAAGGUAUGCAUGCAAAGUCUAUCCUUCUAAAUAUAGAAAGCAGACAGCUCAUUUACUUUUAUUUUUUAGCUCCUUUUCCAUAUGGUUUUCAACUGACAAGAACAGAAUCCUCUUGUAGCGAUAAAUAUUCUGUUCUGUUCAUUCUCUUUUUGAGAUUUUAGUUAAAGGUCUCGGCAUCCUCGUAUUCAAGCAUGGUAUAUCUUAGAAUCUUAUAGUUCAUUCUGUUGCAGUCGAAUAAUUGUUAUGAAGAAAUCAUAUAUGUGAAUGCUGUGCAUUGUUAACUAGGUCAUAUUAUCUUUUUUUGUUCUUCGGUGUUGAGUUUCAUGUGAUUUAGUAGACAUUUUUAUUAACUGUAGCAUGUUAUAUUAGAAUGAAUAACCAGGAAAGUUAAAUUUUAGAUCUGUUAUCGACAGAACAAUCUCUGUAUUUGCUUAUUCUUCUUGGGAAAGCUGAUACUCUUUUAGGUUCUUAUAUUCUGCUGGUUACAAUAUUUUCAACAUAGUUUCUCGUUGUGUCUCAGUGGUAUAUCAUUUUUUGUUGAUAAGUUCUCAGUGAAACAAAUAAUGUGACUGAUGAUAAAUAAUCUUCUCUUUUCAUCACACAUGUGCAUGCUUGUUUUUGAAUGCAGAAACAAGUGAUAAAGAAACAAAGAAACAUGAUGCCUCUUGAAAAGAAAACUGUGGAUGACAUUCCAAUGGAUAUUGUUGAACUCCUAGCUAAAAACCAGCAUGAAAGAAGUAUGAUGAAUGCUGAGGUUUCUAACAUGAACAAACAUGAGUUGUCAAUGAUGAAUGGAGAGUUGAGACAUGGAAUUUAUUCAAAUGUAACUGGAUAUUGUGGAAGCAAGUUUCCAAAGGCAAUAUAUCAGAGACAGGCCAAUGAUACAGUACUUUGUAUUCCUACUGCUCCUCAUGGUAACCAGAAUGACGUGUAUGGACCAGAAGCCUGCAAAGCUAUCGAGUUCCAGAAACAUGCCCUUAUUGAUCUGAACCAACAAGCUGCAGAUUUUCUGGCAAUUCCACAAUAUGAUGGAUACCAACCCUGUACAACUCACCAUUCUGCUGUUGAUUCUAAGAAAACCAGUUCUUUUCAAAUUUCUUCUUGGGAUAGAAUGAGGAUGCAAGAUUCAGGAUUAUAUCAAAAGAAUCAGGGAGUUUCAGCUCAGAGAUCAUGUGGAGGACCUAUCCAUGAUAUGUCGUCACUAUCGUUAAAUGGCAGAAUAUUUGGAGUCAAUAAAAGGAAAGUUGAUACUUGUCACAAUCACGGGAAAAUGGUUCCUUUUGAUUCAUUUCUUGAUACAACUCAGAAGAUCGUUCCUCAAAAGACUGGUUAUCAGGAAUCAGUGAAUUUAACCAGCUCCAAUCUCCCAUAUGGGGAAGGAAAAUCCGAGCAAACAACAAAUGGAAUAGCUCUACCAGGCAGAUCAUAUCUCAUGGAACGAGCAAGUAGGUGCCAUCCAGGAAGAGCAGGGACGAUAGAUAUGCAUAACAAUGAAACAGUAUCGGCGUUGCAUUUGCUUAGGCUAGUUGAUCAGGCAGCUCAGUCAGGUCCAUCAUGGGAUAUUAAUUGUACAGGAAUUACCCAAGACUCCCGCUUAAAUUAUAAUCGUCAAUCCAGUGAGAUGCAUGGAGCAGAAGUUGGAGUUAAAAAUAGAAAGACCCAGGAAAUUCCAUCCACCACUGGAUACUGUGCUCAUGAUCAAACCGAAGGUGGUUUCAGCAGCCCUUGCCAUCCAUUUCCUCGAAUAGGUGCUCUUGGUUCUUUGCUGCAAAAUGAAAACAUGACUCUUUCAUACAAAUCUCUGGCACCAUUGGGUUCUAAAGCUGUGUGUUCUGCUGAACUGCCAUCUUUCUGCAUCUAUGACAUGGACAAAAUAGAUGCUCCUUCAGCCAGUAGUACAAAAUACAGAGACAACAAAAACCCUCCAUCUGUGACUACAAAUACCAAGCAGAUUGUUUCGGCUGAUCAGGUUGGAAUCAACAGAAAGGGUGAACAAGUCCAACCUUUGAGUUAUGAUCCCAUGACUAUAACCUGCGUUAUCAAUCGAAAUCCUGCUGACUUCAGCCAACCUGAUGAAGACAAUAUUUACAUGCGAGGAAAUGACUGAGCUCUGAAAUAUCAAACUCUCAUCAUGACGGGAAGAAGUGUCAGGUGCUGAAGAUGCUACUAAGAUGCAGCUUUCUCCCUCGAAAAAAGGUGACAAUCGAUGGAUGACACAUCCUACCAGCUUAUAUCUUUCAUCAGUAACUCUUCUGUGGCCUAUUCUUGUACGCAUUUAUAUGAUUACAUAUGAUCUAUAAUUUGGGUUUGCUAAUGUCUGCCUCCAGCAAUGUCUCAAAGGUAGCUUUAAAGCGUGCAGUGAUGAUGAUGAUCCAUUAUCAUCAACACGAGUUUAAUCGUCUAGAUGUAAUAGUUAUCAUACCUAAUCAAAUCAUAAAUAGAUUUUAUAGUGUAUAGAUCACCACAUGUCUAAGCAUGAUACCCCGGUGGGGCCCACCACGUGUAUUGCGGAGGGCCCCACGGAAAGGAUAAAUAAAUAGCCUGAACCCUGUCGGGACGAAGGCGGGUGAGCUUCAGGUUCCCCGACAAUUAAAGCAUUCAUCAGACGGCUGGCAUCGCGAUGCUCAUGGGCCACCGAACCCGGGGAUGGAUUGGGGAGCGUCGAGGCCAUUUCCCCUCUGUCGAAGCCUCCAAACCUACCCACCGUCACCGUUUCCUUACCGAUCGUCCCAAGUCGAUGACAGCGAGACCAUAUAGAAAUCGAAGCACCAAUACUUCUCCUCUCUUUCUUGAUUCUUUUGGUUUUCUUUUCUCUUGGGUUUACCGCGGUGGGAUCCAGUGACGGAGCUAUUCUGGCGGUGGUUAGUCAAUGAGCGCGAGAGUCGUUGGGAGACGAUUACUGCUACUGUCGGGGCUACAUUAUGAGCGCAUUCAAAGUUUCCUACCGUCUCUCCCCUCUUUUUCACGACCUCCUCUUUAUCUCUUCAAGAUCCUCCUCCCCGUUAUCGCUACUCCAAUCUCGCCUCUUCUCAGGUGAACGCUCUCUUUCACCUUUUUUUAUUUGUUUUCUUCUCGAUCCGUUCCCAGGUUUCUUGAUCCGUGAGUGGGGUUUGAUGUAACCGGGUUUCUUAUUUCUUGAGCUACGAUAGGCUGGUUUUUUGGAUUAUUUGUGAGCCUUGAUAUGUUGAUCGGAGGGUUUCAUCAUUUUCUUGUUUCUUGCGUGAUAAUAGGUUGCCUUUUUGGAUUCUAUGAGAGCCUUGAUGUUUUGUAGGAGAGACUCAUCAUCAUCCAAUCGAUGUGGCUGACGAUUUACAAAGCAUGUCUUGGAAUUUCAUGACCAUACAUUCGAAUCUCUAGCAUAGAUUCAAAAAUAAAUGAAUAUUUUCUUGAAACUUGUAAAGGAGAAAGGAACUUCCUAAAAUGAUCCAAGAUAUGCGUGUUUUCAAAGUGACAAUAUGCAAGAAAUUGAGAGUUGGCCUUCAACAAUAGCUUCUUUCUUGUAGGCUUAUAGUCAACCUGAGCACUUCAUCAUCAAAAUCAGAUGGACCUUUGACCUCUUCAAUUGUUUCACUGAACGAAUCAGAAAUUCUUUGGUCGUUUGUCUUCUGCUCUAGACAGAUUAUAGAUGAACAGUUCCACAUUUACGCCCUCUAUCAGCAGGUUAAACAGGUUCAAACUAGCUUAUUAUUAUGUCAUCUCAUUUAAAGCUUUUGAAGUCUCUUCAACUAGUAGCACAUUAUGUAGCUUCAUAUUAAGAAUUAGAAGUUUCUGCAUAAUUAGAUUGAGUCCUCUCCUUCCUACUUUACGCGGAAGUCGGUAUUUAUGCUACAAAACUUUUGUUCUGUGAAUUGAUCACUAAUAACAGUGGUGUCAUCAUAAAAUCUCCUCUUAAAGUUAUAUAACAUGAAAUGUAAUCCUAGUUUUUGCUAUAUAGCUCAUAAUACCAGACCAUCAUCUGGUACAUUCAUGGAAGUUGUUAAGGCAGCACUCAGCCAUGUCUAUGCGACUCAAGAACGUGCUGUUAUAAGGGCUGAACAAAAAAGCUAUGGUUAUGCUCAAAUCGUCGCUUCAGCUGUGAACAUCUCAAAUUUAUUGCAUGAUGCAGAUGUUAAAACUGUACGUAUGAUUUUUAUGAAUUGUGCUUAUGCUUUCUUGUCUAAUGUAUUACAUAGUAUAUUUUAAUUACAAAUAGACCUUAUUAAAUUUAAUUUUCCAACUUGAAAAUAUAUGAUAACAAACUGUGGAAAUCAUUGGUAUAAUACAUGUAAUUUUUUUCGUGCAUAUGCUUUCUUGUGCCAUGCAAUUUAUGUUUUGAAGGUUCACAUUAUGUGUAGACAUGCACAAGUAUACAAUGCUAUUCCAUGGAAGUGCUAUAUUCUAUGGAUGUGGCUUUGUGAAUCAGUGUUAUUCUGAUGUAACUAAAUUAGCCAAUUGUUGCUGUCGACCAUUUGCAAGGAUUGCUGACAUCUCGACAUUGUUGCAUGCUCACUGGAUCCAAAGCAUAAGGAAACAGAAAAACUUACCAUCUUGCAGCAUAGUACUGUAAUGAUGAAGUAGGAAUUAGGUUACAGCUGCUGUUCUAUUUUCAUAUUUGCUAGUUACUACCUCUGGCCAAAUCUUGAUCUGAGGAAGAGAUAUAGGAGCCAAAUAGGUACAUAUUUGGAUCAAAUCAGGAUCUUUGAUAAGAAAUAGCAGAGGGAGAGGACAGGAAGAAACAAGGAAACAGUUGGUAAGGUCAGAGAAUCAAAAUAACUUACAUAUUUUUUAAUUUAUUAAAAUUCCAUGUCAAUCUGUAGUAUUUAUCUGCAGAAUUUUUAUGCCUUCUAACCUACCUAAUUUUACCACCCAUUAACAUGUUUCUUAUGUAUUUAAGAUACUUGACACACUCCUAGAAUUCCUUUAUAUUUUCCUAAUCAUACAUAAAAUGUGAAGGUGAUGCUUGAACUACCUAGCAAGUGUGUGAAAAAUGAACUUUGCACUAAAUAAAACUACUUUAGUAACAUUAAAAUAUGUCAUCUAAGUUGAAUAAUUUAUUAAGCUCUAAAACCUGUAUAUUAGAAGGAUCAGAGGACAAGGCUCUUAUAUAAUUUGAAAUGUGAUUAUACAUAAUCUUUGCUGAAGUAGUUUCCUUGAGUGACACAGGUGAACGAAGGGUGCACAGCUUCAGGUUCUGCUGAGGUUGUCAAUGGAUCAAGAUACCUUCAUGGUACUCGGGUAGGGAUUGUGGCUAAACCUUCUGCUGAAUUUGUUGGGGCAAUCCUUGGUACAUGGCUUCGUGGAGGAGUGGCAGUUCCUCUCGCUAUAAGCUAUCCAGAAUCAGAGCUUUUGCAUGUGAUGAAUGAUUCAGUAUGUACUGCACAUAUUCUCUUUAUCUAUGUUUUCAUGGAAUUACUACUAGAGCUGUGAUUUAUGGGUUGGCCAAAAGUAAUUGGGGAGCAAGGUUCAUCGUAAAUAGGCGUACCGCUCAGUACGGGUGGUACAUAUCAAUCCGACAGGGGAUCAAUAUGGAUGGUACAUCAGUAUGCUCCCAUGUACUAUGUGUUGGUACUCUUGGUACGGCUCGAUAUAACUCAGUAUAUAUUGUACUGUAGCUGGUUGAUACACCGAUAUGGACUGAUAAGGCGAACCAUGCUGGGAAGAGUUACAAUAAAAAUAAGUUCAUGUUUAAUAAGCCAUUCGACUUUUCUUCGUUACCCUGGUUUAGAGAUGGUGCAAUUAUUCAUUUAAGAAGAGAAGAACUUGUAUCAAUUAUUUGCCCUUUUGGUACCAAUAUCUGGUUUUUUGUGAUUAUUUGAAAUUUGACAAAUGAUUUUGUGAAGGACUCUGCUGUCUGGACCAAUUCAAACCAUUAUAUUAGCCUUAUCUUCAAAAUUACAUAUUAGCAUCAAUUUUGUAAAAUGAAGUUGUCCAUUCUUAUGAAUUUUUGUUGGAUUUCUGAUACCAUAAUUUUGAGGUUCAAUAUUCUGUAAUAAUCUUGAAUGUGUAUUAUUUCAAUCAUCAAAUUGAUGUUAAUAUUUCAAAGGCUCUCCAUGCAAUUCUGUUUUGGUGAAUGAUCAAGAUCACCAUUAUAUAUAGUUGGCCAUUGAUAACACUAGUUCUUUUUAAAUUCUUUUUUCAUAGUGUCUUUUCACAAAUUUAUCAAUAUUGACCUUUAUAAUGUUGUUACCAAUUCUCCUUUUAGGUUCAAAUAAUUUUCUUCAUUUAUAUAUUAAGUUUCUUUGAUGUUCUUCAACAAUAAAACAGUAAAUGUGAUUUUCGAUUGGCAAGCUACAGUGAUAAGACAAUGCUGCACCUAAAGUGGCCCACUUUUCAAAAGUGAAGUGAUCCAGAGUCUUUUAGAAAUUAUUGAACUUAUACACAUAUCUGUCUGUUGCCAAUUUACUCUUUCUGUUGUGUGGUUGAGCUCUAUAUUAUUAUCAUCACUUCCCCUUCCCUCUCACUUUCUCCUCUUGUGCUCCAGGUUCAUAAUGCUGAUUCUAGAGAAAAAAAAAGACUAACAUGUUCUUGUUUAUAGGAUGUAUCCAUGAUACUGAGCACUCCAGAGCAUCAAGAAACCAUGGAGAACGUGGCUGCUAAAUGCUCUGCUAAAGUUUCACUAAUUCCAACGGUCACCAGUAUGCCAUCAAACAAUAUGUUCAGUGAACAUUCAAGGGAAGAAGCUAUUGGUUUGGUUGUUGAGUUGAUAAGGGAAAUUGAGGAUUCAUGCAUGAUUAAAGGUAAUUCAUGUCUCCCCAUACCUUUAGCUUUUACUUCCCUUUACCAAGCCUUUUGAGUAAUAAGCCUUUCUUAUGCUUUUGUGCUGAAUCUAAGUUGGAUUUUAUUUCCACAGUGAUGUGCUAAUAAAAAAGUAGAUUGGAAAUUUCACUCUUGCAAUGCGAUUGGACUUUAUUGCAUAUAACUUCGGGGAUAUGUUCCUAAAUUAUCUGAUCUUCUAGUUUACCAUGCACUUUUGUUGCUAUACUACUUUCUUUCGGUGUUCAAUGUGACACUAUCUAGGUUGCAUUUGUCAGAAAAUAUUUUAUGAUGUCCACCUGUCUAUCAUUGGUCAUUUUGGCAUAGGUGGUAUAUUGAUUCCCGUACUUGGUUUGUGCUUUUACUAGUAAUUGGUUGGUUCUGUGCUUUUAGUACUUAUCAGCAAUCGAUUCAGGUUCUUGACUUGUUAUGUAGGAGAUGAUCCUGCUCUGAUUCUUUACACGAGUGGUACAACGGGUAAACCUAAAGGUGUUGUCCACACACACAAGAGCAUAAUUGCUCAGGUAAACAUGUUGCUUCUCCUUCUGUUAAUUGAUUCCUGGAACGUUAGGUCGAUCUGCAUCUGCACUCAACUUUAGCUCUAGAGAUGUGAUGAAGACAAUGGAAAAUUAUAACUUUGGUUUAGUCAUCAAGAAAAAAAAUAGACUAUAUUGUAAUUGAAGGGAUUAAUUUAAGGUCCUGUCUAAUGGCAUCAGUACAAAAUACAAGUACCUAAGACUUACAAAUUACUUACUUGUAUCUCAUGCUUCAUCGUCAAUUAUUUCUUUAGUUCCAUUUUACUUAUGGUUAUAUUUUUGAUAUGUCAUUUGAGAUCUCAAGUCAUUUUGUUGCUUCAAAGAUACACUUGCUGAGACAAUUAUGUUGUCACUUACUUUUGCAGGUGCUAAAGUUCAUUCUGGUCAACACUUUGUUACCUUGUUUCUCUGUAGUCUCUAUUUUCUUUUUAGAAUUUGGUGAAUCCUAACUUCCAAAGAGAUACACUAUCUAUAAGCUCUUUCACUACAAUGAUAUAGCAACAGGACAUAAAUUUAUGGUAACUUGUUUUAGUUCCUGAAAUAUCCUGGGAAUCCAUUGUUCAAAUGCCUUUGUUCUUUGGAAAAAGCAACAAAGAUUAAUCACAUUUUGUACCUAUUACUUGUAAAUAAGUGCAGCUUCUAUUGUUUCCUACAGGCUCCAUAGAUGUGUUAACAUAAUUUAUGGGUAGCUAUAUUUAUCAUCAGUUAGGCAAUGGAUUUUUACACUUGUAGUGUUCAUGUUGUUCAAUACUUUGUAGUGACCAACAGGUACUUUUAAGUUGUUGUACCUUACUUUUUCUGUGAUUUCCUUUCAUGCUAUUGUCACAGAUCUCUUGAUCUUCAAGUUUUUCUUAGGAUAUGAGGUAUGCUAGUUUAAGAAGUCACUUAUAGCUAUAACUAGUUGCAAAUUGUUGAUGAUGUAAGCCUUAUAGCAAAUAAUACAUGUGGCUGCUCAUCCUUUAUUUGUAUUUCUUGCCAGAUGAAAUUGACUGUUACCUGUCUGAAAUGUGGCACUACUUAAGCUAUUCUUUUGGCUUGUUUCAGGUCCAAAUUCUGUCUGAGGCUUGGGAAUAUACAAAUAACGAUCAGUUUCUGCAUUGUCUACCCUUGCACCAUAUCCAAAAUUCACGGGCUUUUCUGCUGAUUAAACAAUCAUGCAAUUAACUUGUUUUGUAUGCUUUUUCUAAUCGUAGCUUAUAAAUCUCUUAUUAAUGCAUGUGCAUAUUAUAGCUUCACUCAGGUCCCUGGUGGAAUGCUGUUAAAUAUGUAGAUCCGACAAGUAGUUUAUGUUGAUUUGUUUUUUAAUAACACUUCAUUUGGUUCCUUAACCUUUAGUUUACAUGUUCAUGGUCUCUUCAAUGCUUUAUUUGCGCCUCUAUAUGCGGGAUCAGUGGUAGGUAUCAAAAUCUGGAAUCUAUUAUUUGUCAGUUCAGUUUGUAUCUUAAUUUUGCACUUUGUUGUGUUAGGUUGGAGGUUAUAAUGUUUUUUCAUUAGCUUGAAUAAUUUUGUCCAUGAAGCCCUGAUGAUAGUUGUCUUAUGUCUUUAGCACGCUACAGUCAGCAUAUGCAUAUAAUGAUUGAUACCUGUGGGAUUCUUUUGUAGUAUAAUUUUUCAUCAAGGUUCAAGAGUGCGUUAUCUUGUAAUUUUGUCAUCAUUAAUUCUUAUGUAUCAUUAUUCUAAUUACAGGUUGAGUUCAUGCCAAAAUUUAGCGUACGAGGUGUGUGGCAGAGAUGGCGUGAUUCAUACCCUAAAGAUGGAAACAAAGCAGCUGAUGCGAUUACCUUAUUUACAGGAGUAACUUCACGCAACUUGUGUUUUGUAGAAGAUGAUUAAUGGGAUUGUACCUUUUUAUCAAUUGACAUAUGCUUGAACUAUCAUAACAAAAAAGAAGAUGAAGUUAAAACCACUAGGUAUUUCAUUUUGAAGACCAAUAGUUGCUAGAACUUAGUGUAAAGCAACUUUAAGAUGCAUUAAUCAUUCAAAUUUAUGAACCUACUGCCUUUUGAGGCAGUGCACUCAUGGGGCUGGUAUACCAUCAUUUAUAUUAUCUUUUCUGCAAUACAUGCUAGAAUAAUGAACUUGUUCAGUGAAAACUUAAAAUAAUGUUUUUGUUGAGUACAUACAAGAAUAGCUGACCACUGUCUUCUCUUUAUAGAAAUGUUUUCAUGAAAACCAUUUGUUGUUAGCUUGCCUUAGAAAGACAAGAAGUUCCUUUUGUGAUUAUUUUGCAAAAUUUUGUUCGCUGAUAAAAAUAUUAGGGAGAGUUGCAGAAUAAUUUGUGAUGCUAACAUUUUCCCAUUUGCCAGAGAAUCUAAUGUAACCAAACAACUUGAGACAUUCAAUUAAUGAUUUGAGCCUAUUCUGAAGAUCAUGAGUCAUUGCUUUGUACUGGAUCUCUGGGUUAGAUGAACAUAGAUUUGAUUUUAGAUUUAUGCUUACUGAAUAUUGUCACCAAAUAUUCUUUUCUGCUUUUGCUUCUCGAUAGUGAUAGUUGUGCAGUGACAAGCAAAUACGCUUUUAUUAUUCUUAGUCCACUUUUUCAAAUAAAGACUAACUUUUAGCUUUUUAUAUAUCCAAAAACAAGACUGGGAAAAGGAAAAGGUGGUAUUUAUAUCCUAUGAGCAUAACAAUUAAUUAUUAUUUUUACAUUAAAGUUUUUCAAUGGAAAGACCUUUCAGAGCAUUUCUCUGUGUAAUGGAGAUAGCAUAGGUUUUUUCAAAUAAUUCACAGCCCUUGACAUUAAAUAAAUUCUUUAUACAUUUAUUUAGUUCAACAUGUGAAGUCACAGUAUAUGGAUGUUACUUUUGAAUUUAGCUUCAUGUCAUUUGUUUAUCAUGUUGAGAACAUUGAAGAUUUUCAGGUUCCAACUAUGUAUACUAGACUGCUGCAAGGAUAUCAAACUAUGGAUUCUGAUCUACAAAAGGCCUGUGCAUCUGCAGCAAAUCAAUUGCGUCUCAUGGUAGUUGCCUUUAUUGGUUUUUCAUUUGUAAUGUGUGAAUGAAACUUCUGAACUUGGUAGUUGGUAAUGGAUAUAUGCUUUAGUUUAUGCCCUUGAUAAUCCAAGCUAAGCUUAACCCUUUGGAGAGGGUUUCAUGUAUAUAUACUCAUACUUCAAUGUGAUAAGAUAAGAGUUGCAUCUCUAGUAGUUCUCGGCUAAGAAGCAUGGACGUGUGUUCGACAUGUGUCGAACACACAGACACGUGUGUCGGACACUCGUGUGCGGCGAUGCGCACACAUGGCCCUCACAUGAGGGUCAUAUGUUUCACAAGAAAAGAAAUAUGGAGAUUGUCUUAAGGAAACAUAUAUCAAUAUUUAUUUGAUGUACUCAACCUUUAUUUUGGAUACUUAAAUAAAUGUAUAUGAUUUUAAUUUUUUUAACCUGAAUGAUGAUAUUUAUUUGUUCACAUUGCUAAGUUUAUAAAAUUUAAGUAUAAAUACUAUGAAACUUGUGUCAAUAGAAUAUUAUAUAUACAUAUUAAAAAAUACAUGUGUCUUUGUCAUAUCUGUGUCCUAAUUAUUUUAAAAAUGGCGUGUCACCAUGUCCGUGUCGUGUGGUGUUCAUGUCCCGUGUCUAUCUCCGUGCUUCUUAGGUUCUCAGCAUAUUAUGGCUCCAGAAGUAGAAUAAUAUAUGACUUGUUUAUAUCUCUGAGAAGUCGCAAUGGUGCGCCUUACAUUUAAAUGAUGCUUUAAUAGCAUCUUAUUUAUUGGCUCUAUUGAUCAAGAUUUAUCCUUCUUAAGUUUGAAAAAAAACCUUCAAUAUAUUGUUAGCUUCAUCCUUAACAUCUGUGUUGUGCUGAGUCAACAAAGCUUUAAAAACAGGGACUAGCUUGUAACCUCGAAAAUUGAUAUAUAUUUACCUUAUUUUGCUCAUUUGCUAGCAAAAGCAGUAUUACCGUAAGUACCAAGGCUCACCAUGUCGUAUUCUGUUGACUUUCAAUGUUACUUUUUUUAUGGGUUUGCAUAAUCCAUCGUUUGACAUAUAUGUCCAGGAUACGCUAAAUUGUUUGAAAUUUCAACUUGAAAAAAGCCAAAAAUAAUAAUCUAUGGAAAUUAGACUGUUAAGGGCCAAACACUUACCUUUUGACUUUCAUACAAAAGUUGGGAAACUUUUAUGGCCAGUCGAUCCUUAUUGGUCUGAUACAAAUUUUUAUAGUUGAGCAUGAAUAUAACAUAGCAAGUCAAUCUUCAUAUAACUUUCUUGAUACCUUAAGCUAAAAAGGACAAAAGACAUUCUUGGAGGGCCUGAUGGCAUGAAAGGAAGCCUGCUCAUUAGGAAGAUCAACUCAUGAACACAAGUGAUACUGAUCCAGAGUUGCUGAGGCUUGGAAUACUAUUUGGUUUGUACAACAAUGAAAUAGAAUAAAUCUGGGAAUGCUGUUUGGUUUGGAAUACUAUAAGUAGUAGUUCUUAAUUAUUGUAGGCAUUGCAAUAUUUUUUCUCAUAAAAUAUUUCUUUUUAUUAUGUUCAAACUUCAAAAUCAUGUUUACUACAAAAAGGGAUACAGGCCCUGAAGUUUUCAAUCAAUAACUAUUAUCAUUUACUUGAUUUCCUUCCUAGAUGUGUGGGUCUUCAGCUCUUCCAUUUCCCGUUAUGAAGCAAUGGGAAGAGAUAACAGGUCAUCGCCUUUUAGAACGUUAUGGCAUGACUGAGGUUAGUGUCAUUCCUAUUCACACUCUAUCUCCUUUCCACCCUCUUUUCACUGUCUUAUUCUCUGGUAGCUGUCCAGACUCUUCAGGAGAUCAUAUUGAUUCAUAUUGCUCGCCUUAGCCUGAUUGAAACCUCAAAGUUGCAUAUUUAUGUUUCUGGCUGACUUGCAUAGUUCUCUGUAGUUUGUGAUGGCAAUAUCCAAUCCCUUGCAUGGUGUACGAAAAGGAGGCACUGUCGGGAAACCUCUUCCUCGAGUAGAGGUAUGUUGAGUAAUAUGUUCUCUCGUUUCAUUUGACUUGGUUUCUGGUCUAUUGUUGCUAGGAAGAUCAUGCAUUUCUUUUAAAUUUUGCUUAAGUUAGUUUUUAAUUUUUUUAGUUCAGCAAUAAUUGAAAUUAUUAUGCUAGUCUCAGUGGUAUUUGAUGGGUAAAAUCUUAGAGUUCCAGUGAACAUCCUGAAACUUUAUAAGAGCUGCUCAAAGCUAGAAACCUACCAGUAGUAGAGGUUAAUAAUCAUUCUAUUAUUUAUGGGCAAUUUAAGUCUAACUUUACCUUAGUUUCUUUGGACAAUUUUCAGAUGUGUCUUCGCUAUAUAGGUUUUCAACUUGUUCUUUACUUGUGGCCUCUCAGAAUCUGAAAGCACUGGUUCUUACAUAAAUGACUUUGUUGAUUAAUUAGCUAACCUAGUGGCUAAUAGCCUAGUUAUGAUGAAUAUACAUUUUUAUCGAAAUAUUUUUCUUAGAAAGGAUGUGCACAGUCUACAAUGUUUCCAGAACAUUUAUUCGUGAUAUGGCUUCAUCCUGUUAGGUGAAGAUUCUUGCAGAAGAUGGUAGUGAAGUUGGCACAAGGGGAGUGGGAGAGCUUUGUGUUAGAAGUCCCUCUCUGUUCAAGGAAUAUUGGAAACUGCCUAAGGUAUGAUCUAAUGAGAGUUUUUCCUUUUGACCGAAGGAAUGCAAGUGUUGGUUUCUUCCAUUUGGAAAAACUUGUUUCCACCAUAAUGGUUUGCUACUAUAUUCUUUUGCUUCCGGAUCUGAAAAGUGGGCAGAUGGAACUAAAAUGGAAAAUCCAAAAAUUCUUUUUUUAAUUGUUAUAUGAUGUCACCAUUAGUAAUUAACACCCAUGAUUUUUGACCUUUCCACAACUGUACCAUAAUUCUUCUCCCCGAACAAUUCUGUUGUGCUGCUUAAAGUUUCCACAGUGAAGAUUUAUCUCUUUUAAAUACAGAUACUUGAUGCUUGUAUAAUAUCAUGUGAUUCCCAUUAACCGUAGCUUGAGAAUAGCGUUGAUAGUUAUUUGAUGUUCUUAUUUCCUGUCUUAAGAGAAAAUACAAUCAUCAAAUCACCAUUGAAGAGAUCCCCAUAAAUUUGUUAUUUGAUGUUUGGUCUUUAAUUGAUAGAUAUACUAUAAGCUAAGCUGGAAGACACGGUAGAUUCUAAAAUUGUAGGUUGAGACUGCUUCAAUUUGUAAAUAUUGAUCAUGUUAGCUUAUAGGAAUUAGGAACAGAGCAAAGAGUAGCUUCUGGAUGAUAGUUUGUUACAUCGUAUACUUGUUAAAUUGAGACUCUUUAUAAUUUUUCUCUUUGGUUCUUUAUUUUGAAUUUAGGUAACAGAGGAAUCCUUUACUGAUGAUGGAUUCUUCAAGACUGGAGAUACAGUCACAACAGAUGAAGAUGGAUACUACGUAAUUUUGGGGCGUAAGAGGCUACUGUUUUCAUGCAAUAUGUUUAAGUAUUAGUAAUUUGCUUAUUUUUUGUCAAAUAUGUUGCUUAUCAUAAGUAGUUCGAGAAUAUUAAAAAAAAAUCAUCGAUUUAUUCUUCUGGUAAUAAUAAUAUUGACUAUUCAAGAGGAGAAUCAGCAGUAUGCUGUGUAGGUUGUAUGCCGACCAAUAAAUUAUUUGUUUUGUGUGUUUUGAUAAGUCAUGUUUUGCAGCUAUGCUUCACAUGAAUCAUAUGCUUAAAAGUCUAAUCGGUAUGUAAGAGGAUCAUAUAUGCAACUCUCUUUUGCAUAUCAAAAUUGACUUGUUUUUCUGGAUAUGGAUUUGGAUUUCCUGUAAAAGCAAAGGUUGAUCUAUGUAAUUUUUUGGGGGAGAAAAAAAUCAUUUAACUAUGCCUUAUCAGACACUAACUGACACUAUUAGUUGAUUGUCUUCUUAAUUUAGAAAAUGGAUAGGACCUAGCAUGCAGUAGGAAGCUCUACAUCAAACAUUCAGAGAAUAAUUUAGUGCUUACAUAUUGCAACCAAAUGUCCAAGGUGAACUGGGUCCAUGACUUAAAAUCCCAAGUUUAUACUUAAUUGCCUACUGUAUGUUGCAUUAGUCAAUCUACAGUUAUCCUUUCAUGCUUUGACUUGUAUUAGAGUACCAUAAAAAAAUUACUAGACAUGACACCUCAUAAUAUGACCAGGAUAACUGUUGCCUUCUAGACCUGUUUCCAUCAAUUAUUAGUGAUUGAUAUGUAAUCAUCCACAUUUCAUGUGUGCUUAAUGUACAGAAGAAGAGAUGUUUAUUUUCAUCGAGCACUGUCAACUUUGUAGACCGAUAACCUGUAUCAGUGUCUGAAAUGUAUUAGUUUGAAGAUGCCCAACCACUAACUAAUUUUUUUUGAAGUCUUGUAAAAUGAGAUAAAUUAGAGUAGAGUCAUUUGAAGUAAAUUAUGACUGCAAAAUUUAAUUUGCAUAUGAGUUUGUCUUGUUAUCUUUUGCAUGUUCUUUAGAGUUUAGACAUUUAUCUGUUAUGUGAUGGUUAUAAUUGUGAUGCUGAUAAGAAACUACUUAUUUUGCCUCCAUUCCAAUGAUAUGUACAUUUGAUGGAAGUGAAGAGCCAUGACAGUAAAAAACUGGUUCCAUAAAGACUAUUUAGGGCCUAUAUUUCUAAAGAUGAUGACAUCCGCCUUACUCUUUGCAGGUACUAAUGCUGAUAUUAUGAAAGUUGGUGGUUAUAAGCUGUCAGCACUAGAAAUUGAAGCAAUACUUUUAGAGGCAAGGAAAUCUUAUAUCUCUCAGACGGCUAUAGUUUUCUUAAGCAAUUCAGUAUCAAUUGCUUUAAUUAUUUAUAUCUGUUCAUGAGCUUAUUAUUUAUAACUGUUGCCUUCUAGUCUAUGUAGCUUGAAUGGCUUGCUAUAACUGCUGAAGUUGGUCUUCUGUGUUCUCAUUCAGCACAAGGCAGUGUCAGAAUGUUGCAUUCUGGGCUUACUGGAUGAGGAUUAUGGGGAAAUUGUAUGUGCUAUAAUUGCGCCUCAUGCAGAUGCAAGAAGUAGUGCAGAGCAAGAACAAAAGCCAGCAAUAACCCUAGAAGAUCUACGAAGUUGGUCCAAGGAUAAACUAGCUCCAUAUAAGGUUCUUUACUAUCAUUAAUAGCACAUUACUUCAGCUUUGUAUUUGCUUUUUACUAUAGUCUAAAGAGUACCUAUGGACAAACUACAAAGACCAACCGCCUGCUGUAAAUACAUUUUGUUUUGGCACAGAUAUGCUAUUUAUCAUUCUUUUAUUCAUUUUCUUAUAUGUUAACUACAGCCUACUUUGAAAUUCUUUUAAAAGCUUUGUUCUGUGAGCUCAAAAACAUCUUCUCUAUCUUGGUUCUAAUUAUAUAUGGUUACUGAUUUAGUCUGCUACAUAUUGUUAUAUAUUUUGGGGAGAUUAUAUUGCACCUCCCUAGGGUUGCGGACUUCAAGAAUUUCUUUUGUACAACUUUAACCUGGAAAUGCUAUUCAACACAUUUCUAGGCCUUGUUUCUUUUGGAACCCCUGGUUCUGAUAUUACAAAUGGAUAAAGCAAAGGACAAGUUUGAUGGUUGGGGAUGCUAACUGGUCAUACCUCAUCCAAAUUCCUUUAGGUCAUCAAAAUUGUACCACUUCACAAUUCCUCUAGGAAAUCAAGCAUUCCCUGUCCCUAAAAUCGGGAUGUGAUACAAGCGUUUGACUCUUAUAGCAUCAUUGGGCAAUCAUGCUGCACGCAGGGGUGCGGAAAAGAUGAGGAAGGCCUGCCAUCAUUACUUCAAUGCUGCUGCUGUUGCUCUGUCACCAGAACUACCCUUGUUGCAUUAUUAUUAACGGUCAAAUUUGUGAACAAAUUGAUUUUAGUUUUAUAAAUAUAUAGUUUACAUUUUGUUUUUUUAAAUUUAAUGUAUUUAGCUACUUGUCUCUUUGUAAUUAAUUUUAAUUUAUAUUCUGUAUGCUUUAUAUAUUUAUAUUUUCUUAAUGUUAUAUAUUGUAUCUAUGGCCAUGCAACACUACCAAAUAUGAUCAUAUGUUACAUGUCAUAUCUCUCUCAAGUCCACACAUUUGUUAUUUUCUAUUCUUACUGGAACAUUUUUGAACUAAAGGUAUCUGAGGAGGCCUCCCAAUGGCUAGUGUAUUUUAUGCACCUUUAGAUAGUGUAGGGUUUAAAACCUAUUGUAAGUGUCUAGUGCACAUGGUUAUGUAAUACUUAUGUGGAAGGGGUAAAAUUUAGAAAAAAAACAUUUUAAACAAAAGGACAAGAUAAUUUUUUGAGUUUCACCGUGGACAUUUGUUGUUAUGAUCCACAAGGAUUUUCAUUUGGAAUUGUUUGGACCUGGAGGAUUUCCCCGUUGUUCUUGUUAUACCUCUUAACACCAAAUUUUUGUUGGCAAAAUAGUUUGAGGAUAGAAUAUAAGCUCAUUUGUUCUUAAACAGAUGCAAUCCAUAUCUCACGAUAUUUGUUUACAUUCAUUCAGAUCCCGACAAAGUUGUUUCUGUGGGAUUCUCUUCCUCGAAAUGCCAUGGGAAAGGUUAGAUGUGCUCCCCACUGUAUUUAUUUUUCUUUUUUAGUGAAUUUUUCUGUGGUCAAACUCUGUUGCAUUUUACUUUUCAGGUGAACAAGAAGGAGAUCAAAAAAUUACUGGAACAACAACCAUAAUUUAAGUUACAAAUUAACAGUGGCAUUUAUGGCUGAUCAAAAAAUUAGCAGCCCCAUUAGGUUAGCAAGAUCAUUUUCUUCAAUGAAAUCUUCUUUCCCAUCGAGGCACAAUUUGGAUCGUGGUACUUUUAUCUCUAUUUAUUACAGUGGCUUUAAACGUGUACCCGUCGGUCAUUGGAUUAUGUGACAAGUGGUAAAUGUUGUCUCCAAUCAAGUAUGAUGCAACUGUAGCGAGCAUUGCAAUGGUAGAUUUGAAUGGUGAUGUAAAAGUUCAGUACAACUGUCUCACCAUAGCAUCUGCGUGCCAUUGGUGAUCAGGGUUAAAUUUCUUCAUUGAUGGAAAAUGUUGAAUGAUCUUGCCCUGCUUUGAUCCAUGUUUAAUAAAAUUUUGAGAUUCUUGAUCGAUGUUGUUGGCGAUCUUUUAAGCAUACUAAAGGAUUGCAUAUCAACAGGAGCCCUGUGAAAUGUCAGUAACACAGGACCUCAUGUUACUUAGCUAGAUGUGCUGUGAUUAUUAUGCUUAUCUACCGUGAUUGACAGCUGCAUCAGCUGCCAAAUCCUAUGUUUUAAGUAAGUCUUGAUGCUAGUUAUAGUAGAUGAGAGUGCAAGCAUUUGAGGCUUCACUACAUAAUAUUCCACUGUGUAAGGAUAGUAUAUCUGGAACCGAGGCUUCAGUAUCGAUCCUUGCUUGCAAGCUGAGGAUAUGGAUGGUUACUGUCGAACUGUUAUCGAGACAAUUUUAGCCUGCGAGGAAAGUGAAGAACAAUACUGAAUCUUCUCGACCUCCAUCAUGAAGCAUUUGUUUUUGCCUUUUGUUCAUUGAUUCGGGUGAGUGCUAAAAGAAUAGCCUAAAUUUUGAGGAAUGAGUCGAGAAACCAAGCACAAAGUGGGUUUGAUGCGAUGUGUGGGUUGUGCCGGAAUAAAAUAUUCAGGGGACAGCUACAGGAGUUAGUUCAGGUGGGUGAUCCACAAAUACACACUCGUUGUCAGCUUCACUCGUCACACUCAUUCCUUUCCACUUGUGUGGUGGAAUCUGUUGGUGGGGAAAAUUUCUCGAUUUUUCUGUGUCACCGGUAAGAGCAUUCAUGUUUUGCUUACAAUCUGGUCACACAUAUUUGUAUGUAUAAACAUUUAGAUGCUUGGAUGGAGGUACAACGUGAUCGCAGCUACCACAGAGUUUGCCUGCUACUUCCAGCAGGCAACAAAUGGAGGUACCUUUCUCGCGUCAUUGUUAUUCUUAUUUGCCUUAGAUUCAUCUGUUACUGUGCGCCCUGUUUCAUGACUUUAAUUCUUUCGGAAUGGUCCACCGAGAGAGACAUUAUGCUGGUGUUGUAUCCGCUUGGGAUGUGGACUUGCAACUUGGUACGACUCUUGCAGAAACAAGCAGCAGCAGCAAUGGUGAAUCAAUGGAAGUCGAAUCACCGAAGAAGGCGUGUUCCAGCAGAAGGCGGUCUCCUUAAUCUGGACCAGCCCCCCUCUCAGGUGUUUGACUUGAAUAGGUCAAGGACGCCAACUCCACUGGUCCAAGUCAUCGGUUUUCGGGAGCAGCAUCAAACCGCUGUUCCCACCACUUGUUCUUGUCCGCUCGCCGCAGAUAAAGCAUGUGGGCAGUGACUGCCACCAACAGCGGAUGGGCAAUACUGACACCGACACUACUAUAUCUACUUACCGACUCAUUUGUUGGUUUGGUUCGCUUCAAGUCAUGUUGCUUUCAGGUGGCUGCCAUCAAAGUUGAAGUUCCAACCGACCCGGCGUUGCUUUCUGCUGCUUCGCCUGGUGGAUUCGGACACUUGUUCUUGGAUCAAGACCUGAUUUGAUUAAGGGGUAUCGCAAGCAAUCGCAGCAUCGGCUGAGCAUUCAUUCGUAUGGUAGGAAGAUCGAAGGAGAGAUUUCUGAACACGUGAUCAUCAACUCUUUCUCCCACUGAUCAUUCAACUUUUCUUGGCUAGUUAGUACUCGGGUGAUGGCAAGCGGUCAACUCGGGUGAUGUGCACGGAUCGAUGUCUCUGUCGGAUCACGAUUCCUCCUCUCUCUUCCCCUGCGUACCACCGACUCGCCCAGCGUCGUUACGCGGCCCUCGAAGCGGGUGCGAGCGGGAGGCCGAGGCGGCGCGCGACUGUGGAGGCUUCCGAAACACGACGAUGCGGAUGAUGCAGGCGUGCGACGGUGGCGGUGGUGUUGGAGUCGCACUGGUCCAUUUGCACCAUCUUGUCGUUUGGUACUUGUCAUCAUUGUGGCCAACAAGGCAUAGCUCGAUCCGAGUGUCAGCACUGGCCACCCAACUGAGACGGUCUUCGUCCGGCGACAGCAUGGAAGCCAAGAGGAGAGGGUUGUCUUCCAGCUGUGAUGUGAUGUCUCACUGGUGGAGCAAGAGCCGUCGGCACCAGAGGUCCCUGCUUUGGAGUCUCGUUAGAGUCAACAACACUACAGACACUAACAGCCAUUGGUUCCCCCUACUUUUUUUUUUCCUGGAUUUCAGAAAAUUUUCCUGGUGAGUUGAAGGAAGGUUUAUUUUUUCUCUUCUUUAUAGUUUUUGUAUUAAUUUAAGAUUCUGUUCUGCAAGAUUAUAGAAUGCCAUUGGCGUUCCUAACUUUACAUACCCAGACACAAUAUUGUGCGGAUAAACAGCGCAUCUAUCAAAGAUCCUGAGAGAUUCGAUAAGAGACGGGAAAAAAUAUAUUCCAAGGGAGUUGUCUGAAUUCUUGUCGGGUACUCGAGAAUCCCUGUCGGCAGGUGGUUGAAGCCUAUUAUCUCCAACGUUCUACUAUUUAACCACACCAAUACUUGGUUGUCUCCGGAUAGCUGUUUCUUCUUCCAUUUCUCUCCACGAAUCAAUCCUAAAUCUGGAAGUCCGAUGACACCGCCGCCAUCGGAGCAGGACUACAUACGCCUCUCCGACGGGCUCUCCUCCGCCGGGGCGCUCAACCUGAAGGACACCGAGCUCCGGCUGGGGCUACCGGGGUCGGAGUCCCCCGAGAGGGUCGAUGUAAGAUGCGGGGUCGACGGCGGCCUGAAGCUGAGGCUCCCCAAGGGCUUCGUCUCCGGCACGAAGAGGGCGUUCUCGGACGCCAUGGACGGGGCGGAGCUCCCCCGGGUGGAUGGAUCCGAGGUGACACCCGAGGGAGGCGAGGCUUCCUUCUCGGAGAGAAGGGAGAACAGCGGUGGAAAGGAGGAGGAUGGCGAUGGAGAGGCAAAGGCGGCGGCACCUUGGGCGGCGAAGUAAGUCUGUUUCUCGUUGCGGUCGUCCGUUUGGCGGAUCGACGUGAUGAAUCAAUCAAAAUGGUUGUGUGGUAGGGCACAAGUCAUUGGGUGGCCACCUAUCCGGAGCUACAGAAGGAAUACAAUGGCCUCAAACCCAUGGAGGAACAAAGAGGAGGAGACCAAAGGGAGCCAAGGAGGGGAGUGCCUCUACAUCAAGGUCAGCAUGGAUGGAGCUCCCUAUCUCAGAAAGGUCGACCUCAAGACGUACUCCACCUACGCGGAUCUCUCACUGGCACUCGGGAAGAUGUUUACUUGCUUUACCCUCGGUGAGUGAGCACUGCCAUCUUUUUUAGUUGCUCGAUCCCACCAUCAAAUUGAUGUUGUCGAAGCACUGGAAUUAAUGGCAUUCGGAUAUCUGAUGCAAGGGGAGGUUUCACUUCAUCUGUGGUUUUCGAUUCAGGUCAGUGUGGUGGUACUCAUGGGAUGGGUGGCAGAGAGGAGACGAAGACUGAGGGUGGUGGAGCGAUGGACCUUCUUCGAGGGUCUGAGUAUGUUCUUACCUACGAGGACAAGGAUGGUGACUGGAUGCUUGUUGGUGAUGUUCCCUGGAAGUAAGCGAAAUAAAUGUUGGAUGCCUCCCUCGGCAGUAGGAGCAUUCAUUCUUCCUAUCGACAUAUUACAUGCAUCUGAUCCUGUAUUCUAAUCUGACUACUGAUGGUAUGUGUUUGUCAUCGCAGCAUGUUUACUGAUUCUUGUAGGAGAUUGAGGAUCAUGAGAGGUUCAGACGCAAUUGGGAUGGGUAAGAAUAGCUAUCUAUCUAUCUAUCUUCUCAGGAUAAUACUUACAAGAGAAAUGAACUUAAAUAGAACACAGAAUCUCUCCCUAAUUGACCCUUAUUAUUCCAAACAUAUGAUGAUGCUACAGUCCUAAGAAGAUUAGGUCACAAAUCUUGUUGUGCUUGAUGAUACUGGGUAACCUUGUUGCAGCACCAAGGGUGAUGGAGAAGUCCAAGAGCCGGAACCAGUAGAGGUUUAACCGACAGCAGACCAAAUGGCUACAAGAUGGUCUUUAAUUUCCUCAAAGGAAAUGAAAGCUUUGGUGUCCAUGAGAUUGUGGGGUGAAACUUCACUUGAGUUCUUGGGAUUGUUCUUUCCCUGGACCUUCUGUAUCUGGUGAAAGCUCAAACUUCCAACAUCAAUGGUUUUAGUGGACCUCAUGUUUCAAAGGGAGAGCUCCCACACUUUUGCUAUGUUUACCACUCUGUCUUGGGGAUCAAAUUUGUGUUUGUGAAUGACCUGCAAAACUUCCAUAAAUUAUUAGAUUUGAUUGCUGAGGUUUACUUGUUCCAUGUGCAGUUCAGAAUAUGAGGAAUAGCAUAAAAAUUAAAGAUCAACAAGACAAAGGGAGGGGCAUUGAGCAAGGUGAUGUCAGGAAUCUUUCAGAAGGGCAGUGAUUCCUCACUAAGUUCUGUUUACCAUUUGGGAACAAAGGGACAACCAACCACUAACUUGUAUAGAUUAUACUUAGGCUGAAAACAAAAAUGAAGAGACCAUAAAUUAUUAUGUGAGUGGGAGAGAGAAAACUAGAUCUUGAAAGAAUACUUAAUUGAGUCCUCUGGUUGUAGGUUCACAAGCACAUAAUCCAAGAAGUGGCAACUGAAAGGUUUAAUGAAAUUUCCACAAAUCCAUCUAUUUUUUUGUGUUUGGUCGAUGGAAUUUUAUGCAUCUCUUAUAGAUAGGGAUAAUUAUAUAUUACCCCAUAUAGUUAGCUAUAUUUAGCAUCUCGAUUCUUAUACUAAAAGUGAAAUAAUUAAUCUCAUUAUUUCUUGUAUCGUCAAUUCUACUAACGAAAGAUAUCUCACACGUGCAUAAAAUGAUGCUAAAAAAGGGAUAAAAAGAUAAUUUACCCCUUUUUGAAAGCUUUGCUAUCCUCCUCUUCUCUUUUCGAGCCUUUUCUCAAUCCUCUCCAAUGUUGAGGUUGUCUCCGUCGUGCACCGUAAGCUCCUAGCCCUCUCGAAGAAGAGAGACCUAGCCCUCUUUGAUAAGGAGCUCGAUGUCAUAUUCAUGAAUGAUAAUUGUUUCAAUUCUUUGAUGCCCGACAACUUCGACAACUCCAAAGCCCCCGUCGUUAUCAUUGCCAACAACACAAUUCCUUAAUUGCCUUCCGAGCAACAUCGGCAAUAUGACGACCACCCUCAAUAAGCUCGAUCUGAUGAAUAAGCUUUCAAGAUUUAGUCGUAGCUUUCUCCUCUCCGUAAGUCAUCUGGGAGGAUAGCAAAGUUGAAGAGAAGGAUAAAGCUAUGAUUUUGGCAUCAUUUUUCGCAUGUGAUAGCACGUGCAAUAUCUUCGGUUAGUAGAGUCAACGCUACGAGGAGAGACAAAGUUAAAUGUUUCACUUUCGUAAGUAAAGAAAUCAUAAUGUAAAUAUUAUAUUAAAUAUAAAUAUAAAGAUCGGGAUACUAAACAUUAUCCCACAAGAAAUUAUUUCAAAUUUUCAAGACCAUAUUGUUGAAUUUCUAAGUUGGAGGAACACAAACCCCCAUGUCUCAGACAGCUAAUUGGGAACCCCAAUUCAAGAAUCCAUAUACUAAAGCAGCUAUUUGAAGGUAUAACCUCUGCAGGAUCCCUAAUUUGAGAGAACAAAGAUAAUUGGAGAAGGCCUAAAUGUAAACAUUUAUGCAUCUUAUGGCAACAAGAACUGCAUUUUGUUCGCCAUUAGCAGACAAGAAACGUAAUCCGGUGAUAAGAUGUAAUGUGAUUCAUUCGAAAACAAAAGCAACAGAAUCAAGAAAGUGAACCCUACCAUACCAAGAAACCAAUUGUCGACGAGAAAAUUAACAAACGAUUCAAGCAGAUUAAUCCAUCAAUCUCCAGAUCUAAUGCAAAUCCAAACACCCAAGACGAUCAGAGCCGUACCGAAGAAGGUGAGACCAACGCGCAUCUCCUCGCGGAGGAUCAUCGCCGCGACGGCUGUUGCGGCGAACGUGGUGGCGUUGGUUACCGGCACGGCGACGGAGAUGGGGGCGCCGCCCAGCAUGUGGAAGAAAGCGGCGGAGGCGGACAGGUUGAUCAGGAAAGGGACGGAGUACUGCCACGUCAGGAGGAGGUCGAUCCACCUGAGGACGUGGCCGAGGAGGCGGCCGCGGGGGCGGUGGCCCGGCGUGCGCGAUCGAAGCUGGAGCUUCCGGUCCCAGACGAGAGCCCCGCGGCGCAUGACGGCGUUGGUAGCACCCCACACGAUCCCUACGGCGAUCAUCUUCUCCACGUCCCCGGCCAUCUUUUUCCGCCCCUCCCACCACCACCACCACCACCACCCACCUGCUUCGACAAUCGGUCGAACGACCCCGAUCGUCUUCUUUGGCUCAUCUUGAGCCCUUGAUCUUGGCUGAGCUCCCUGCGCGACUCUUAAAGCAAAGAUCCGAAAGAGUUCAACGGUGGAUAUGGAAAGACUCGAUGCCCAAAGAUAGCACCAAAAAUAAAAUUGGGCCCACAUCACUAUUUCAUUAAAACUACGGAUAAGAAAAUUCAUCUAUUUUUUAUUCUUUGUACCGAAUUAUUUUUUGAAAAUUUUAUUCCUAAAACAUUAAGAAUAUAUAUAUAUAUAUAUAUAUAUAUAUAUAUAUAUAUAUAUAUUANNNNNNNNNNNNNNNNNNNNGUAGAUCACACGGUGAGACUGAUCAUGCUGAUCCUACUCCUUCCUGCUUCUCCUUCACUGAGAUUAAAGAAAGAUGGUGUACCUAAAAGAUUCCUUGAGAGAGGGAAAACAUGAAGGGAGAAAGAAAUUUCUUUUAAUGCAUGAAUAUUAUACUCUAAAGAGUACAAUGAGUUUCUAUCAACGGUUAAACUUGGUAGAUAAAACAAAGGCCAACAACAUUCAAAGUUCACUACAUACAUCGUCUUUCAUUUGUUGCAGGUGGGAUCAGACUAUACACACAAGCAGCAAUAGCCAAAUGGCAACAUGUUUAUUUCUACUGCCAUGUUUCUGCUAUACAUUCAUGUUUGCUCUAUUGAGCAACUUUUAACUCUUCUAGAAACAGAAUAUGACCGAUAUCCCAAUCAUUUGCAUUUGCAUCAGAAGAUGAGCUUUCUCAUGCAUUGUUUUGUUGAAUCACUGGAAGUUUGUUGCCUGUACUUCAAUUUAGUGACUAAACAGAACAAUGGAAAUACUUCAACUCCAUACCACAUAGUUAAGCUAGAAGCUUUGCCAGCUCAUCUACUCCCAAGCUCCCAUGUGGAACCACAUCAGGAAGGAUGUCUUGAAGAUUGUCCCUCCGACAACUUCGGAAGUUCUUCUUACCACUAAUUCUUGUAUUAGAAUCAGAGAUGACUUCAACCUCUAUAUCUUGUUCCUCACUUUUGUCACUAUUUUCUUGCUCAGUAGUUUGUACAGAAACUUUCUUAAUUCUGUGCUGAAAGAUCGGCCCAGGUGGAGCUGUCUUGGCAAGAGCCACUGACCUUUCAUAGACAAUAUUGGCAUCCAAACAUGAAUCAUCCAAGAUUACUGCAGUGCCACUGUCAACUGCCUGCCUCAGAAGAAGCAUUACUCCCUCCAAACAUGACCCACUAGGUAAACAAUCGCUUUCUUCCAUUUCCAACCCAACACUCUCUCCAGAAGCAUUAUCAAGUCUAGUACAUCUGUCCAUGUCAUCAUGCCUGGUUGGACCCACAUGAACUGCGCUGUGUUCAGCUUUUUCUCCUAGAUAAGAUAAAUGCUUACUUUCAUCCUGAAACAACUCCUUCGAGCUAUAUUCAGCUCCUGAAGAAGAGAUGUCAUGGCAAAUUGCAAUUGAAGCAUCCUGGUCAAUUACCGUUGAAGAAUUAGAGGUCUGGUGGACAACAUCGUUUAGGCGGUUAGCAGUUUCUCUGGAUAAUUGGUCAAUCUCUUCGGAUUUGGACAUACACUCAGUUUCUACCUCUCUUGGAUGUUCAUCGAAAGCCGCAUCCUUGGUAGACAGACUGAUGCAGGGUUCCUUGUUGGGACUUGUUCCAACCACUUGGUCCAUUAUGUCCUGAUCAGUCGAUAAUGUAUUGUUUGAUGACCUGGAAGGAGCAGCUGUUGGGUCAGUGGUGAUGUGUUCUGCAGCUUCAUUGCUAUUGUCUUCUUGUGGCAGAAGAGUUGAUUUCCAAUUUUUCCCUCUCCACAUAAGUAUAUGCUCAUAUUCAAAAGAGAGCAGAACACAUGGGACAAGAUCCUAUAAAAUCAAGUCAAAAGAUUGAAAGGUCUUACCAACAGAUGAAUGAGGAAAGAUAUAAAA
rnacentral:lncRNA from 1 species